GGACUUCAAAAGCAGGCAACAAACUCCAUUGAAAAAGAAUAGGUAAAAACAAAUCUAAGAAUAUAUAUACAGCAUAGGACCAUUUUCUCAACCCAGAAUUAUUUCAACUUACAGAUUUUGGUUUCUUGUUCCGAGGUCCUGGAGGAGGACCUCGUCUCAAGGCUGAAGAGGAUGGUUGCAUGGAUGGAGGCAGUGCAGGAGUUGGAGCACCGAGGGAUAAGGACUGUGAUGUUUUCUGUUUCUUCCGUGAUGCUGAAACAGUUGGACUAGGUAGGGGGUCAUGAACAGGCUGAGCAGCAUUAAGUGUACCAGGUUGAAGCCCACUUUUUCUCCAUUGCCUAGUAGUAUAUAAUAUAACAUGUCUCAUAAAAAAUGCAGAGCUAUCCAAACAUAAUACAUAUUUGGUGCUCAAACCAACAUGGGAUAAUAUUAUCAGACCUUAUUCUCUGGAUCAUGUCAUCGGCAUGGACCCUGGACAAAAGUUCUCUGUGCUCCUCAUCAGAUACUCUCAGCUCCUUUCUAAGAUUUGUCAUUAAAGUUUCCUUAUCCUGUAAAGUACAUUAGAACUGACUUUCAGGCCUAAGUUUACACAAAUAAUACUUUGAUCCUAAGGAAAAGAAAAAGAAGAAACAACAAAUAGUUAAUCAAACAGCUACCCAGGUGAUGGCAUCAGAUUGAGCACUAAAUGCCCUUAGAAGUGAACAGUACGCUUCUUGCUCAAUGCGGUGAAUCUGGGUUUCCAUGUCACCAUGCAUCCUAGGUAAUGGAGCAGAACUGACGGCUGCAGAUCUUCCAUUCCCAGAAGUUCGGCCUCCUCUUUGAAACCUAUUUUGAUGAGACGGCGGAAAGUCAUCGUCCGUUCCUGCAAAUGUUUCAGAGCAUAGCAAACUAUUAUUUCUAGCUUCAGUAACAAGCCCCUUAGGUUUUUCAAGAACUUUGCAAUAGCAAAGCAUAAAAUCCUUUUUAUUUCUAAGGCCUUUGUCCCCGCCAAUAGCCACCUUCUUCAAUUAUACACAUGUCUAUAUGCACGCAACAUAUAAUAGCACGCUAUUUCUUGUAUCUGUGCCUCACAAAGUAGGCAUAAACUAUAUGUAUAUAGAAAUAAGGAUCUUAUAUUCCAGAGUCCAGGCAAGCCACGUAAGAAUGUGUUCCUUCCUCAAAAUGUAUCCUGACACUAGCAUAAAAAGAACUAAAAAUGAAAAUCAUACCAACAUGUUCUGAUAAUACAGAAGAUGGGUUCUAGAAGCAUGCACGGUCCACUAAAAAUGUUGCUAUAGCAUCCAAGAGCAGUAUCAACGUUAAAUAACAGCCUUGCAGGUAUUUAAAACAAAAACAUUAUAAUAUGCUUAAAAUACAUCUUUCAUUAUUUCUACACUAAACUAAAGCAUCCUUGGUUAAACUAAUAGAAGCCAUAACUUAGCAUUAAUUAUCAACUUUACUGAAUCGCUAAAACCCAACCAACAACAACCACACGAAAUGUGGCCAAUAUGAAAACUCUUAAUGCCAGUAGGUUUCUUUUCUCAAACAAUUAGCCACUUUCUCCAACACAGUGACCUUGGCUAGAAUCAGAAUAGCAGGACCUAACUACCAUUUACCAAAUUCCACAGAGAAUUACGAGUGAAUUUAAUCCCUAGAGGAUGAAAAACAAUUCCAAGCAACAAAAAAGAGUAACUAUCUUUUGGGUGUCCACCCAGUGUUCAGAAUGCAAAUAUACAAGGUUCAAAACAACAAGCAAGACUAACUUACAGACGGGAAGAAUGGAAUACCCGAAUCGGAGUCAAUCUUCAAAUAAUGGCAUCAAAGUACAUGUUGUGGGAGAACUUAAAGGUCUUACGCGGUGUUUCCAAACCAACUUAUAAGAAGUAAAAGAAAGACCAAAGCCGAAUACAAAAUCGUAUUACCUCGGAGCACAAGCCGGGUACACUACAUUACAAUUAAAUUUUCUUCUAAUUCUACCAUGGUCGACCAAAGAAAGUUAAAUUUCAAGACAAACCCACUAAAAUGAUGAAUUCAAGAGUAAAAAAGUACAUCCAGAGCACUAAUUAAACCCAAAUUCUACCACACCUAACAUAAAUUCAAGAGUUUGAGUCAAAUUACUCUGAGAACCAAUAGAUUACACAAUGGAAGAACAAAGGUACUUAAAAACCAAAAUUGAAAAACAGAUAAGCAAAUUCAACUUGGCUUACCACUGCUAUCAGAGAGCUCGUAGUCCAUCACCGCUCCCCAAAACCAAGACUUUCGCUAAAAACCUAGCAAACCCACGUCGAAAGUCGAUCAAUUUAGCAAACCCACGUCGAAAAUUCGAUCAGUUUCAUCGAGAACUUGAACUUGCACCCACUGGUACCCUCCAAAACAGAUCAAUUCGCCGAAUUUUACCUAAUUUCAAGCACAGUGCGGUCCCAAAACCUCAUAGAAGUUGAAAUUAGGGCACCAAGAGUGAUGGAGAAGGCGAUCGAUUGACGUCAAUGCGAGCGAAUUGGGAAUUGGAAUACCUGUGUUAAUUGUGGGGCAUAAAUAGAAUUUCGAAGAGAUGUGGGGUGAAGAGAGUGGGGAUUGGACUUGGAGUGUGAAUUCGAAGAAAUUGAACUCCGGCAGACGGAUUGGAGAUUGGAGAUUGGAGAUAGGUCGGAAGGGAAGUCGCGGACUUCAAACUAGUUCUUGUGGCGCCCUAAUGUUUUCAGUUAAUAGUUCAGUUUCAGUUCCGUGUUUCCUAUUGGCUGUUGGUUUUUAUUUCGGGAAGCCAUGUGGAGCUCAAAUGUGGGCCCCACAUGCGUGCCAUGUCAGCGGACUAAGCGGAGGAGUUUUCAUGCCACAUCGAACCUUUUUAAAGUAUGAGGACUAUUUGAUUUAAGGUGACUUUAAUGAAAAGUUAAAGUUUUUAAAAUUUUUUUAUUACUUUUUCUAAUAUUAUUUAAUAUUUUUACAUUAAAAAGUUAAUUAUAGUAUUAUUCAAUAUACUUUUUAUUUUAUUUUUAUCGUUAAAAUUCAAAAUUUUCAAAAUUUUUUCAUUAAUUUUCCUUUGAUUUUAAUGAUACAUAUUUGCACAUGAUAAUAUAUUAUUAUAAAUGCUCUCAUAAGGUCCUCAUUUUGAGGACAUGUGAUGACGUCUUUUAUAUGAGCUAUUGGAUCAGUUUAAAGAUAACAAAAUGAUGAGGUUAUAUAAUCUUGUUAUACCUAAACAAAUUGCAUAGAGCGAGUUAAUUAAAAACAAUAAUUAAGGGUUCACGCGUUAAUUCUUUCUAGUCAACAGAGAGGUCUUUCUCCAAUAAAGGUUUUUUCUAUGAGCAUUUUCAAGUAGGUUGAACUUUGAAGGAGAGCAGCGAGCACAUACUUCAAAUUUCGUAGAGUCCUUGGAAAAUUAAAAUUCUCUUUCAAGCUUCUAUAAGGUAUUUUCUUUGUGGUUGUAUUGAUUUCAACCUUUCUUUGAGUUGUUCUUGAACUCGUGAGCGAUUGCAUGAUUUUGUUAACGCCCUCUCAACUUGAUUCUCCAAUUUUAGAUUCUUCUUCUUGUUGAUAAAAAAAAGAUGGUGCUAUCCAUAUACCUGCUUUUACCCCUUACACACUUCUCUAAAUUUCUGACCGUUGGAUCGAGUUAAUUGAAGAAGAUCAAUAACAAAAAAUUAACAGAGUGUGUGGAAGGUAAAAAUGUGUGUUUAAUUAUCACUACCUAAAAAAAAUUGACGUGGUACCGGUUCAAGCCCAACUCCAUUUUUUUUUUUUUGCAUCAGUUUUAAUUUUUGCUUUUUUGCCACUCAGUGCUACGGUUUGGUGAUAUCCCUCUUCACUUGGAAGUGAGAAGUCUUAGGUUCGAAUCUCGUGAAUAGCGAAUUCAACACCAAAUUAGGUUGCUCAUUGUGUGGCUUAACCUAACUCCUCCUCCCACUAGUGUAAAAAUAUCGAUUGAAAAAUUUCAGGAAUUUUUUUCUUGAAAUAAGUUAACUAUGUUUUAAAAAGAAUUUUUUCAAUGUUAAUUGCAAAUUGUACGAUGGAAGAACAAGUUGCAGAUGAACGUAAACCCAAAGUUGGCCAAUAACUUGUUUCAUGAUUUUUACAAUUAUUAUGCAUGAGAAGUUAGAUUUAGUGUCAGAAUGGGUUCAAGUAAGAAGAAAAAAGGAGCGAAUGAGAUUACCUAGAAAUAAUUUGUUUGUUUAAAGGAAGGUGUACCAGAUGAGACUUAUCAGAAGACAAAGAAGAAUACGUCAACCAAAGAAGAAAGGAAUCUUGGAUCAACAUGUGUGUGUUGUAAGGCCAAGUAAAACAUUUCUCGUGACAAGUCUAGGACAAAGUGGUCUACUUGUAACUUUGAACAAUGUCAUAAUCAUGUACUUUCAACCCCUACAAUGGUACGCCUACUACAUUUACACCGCAAAGUUUCGAAAGCAAAGAAGCUUUACAUGGAAAGACUACGUAGUGCAAAUGUAUCUACAAGUCAACAAUUCAGAAUAAUGAAGAAUGAGGCAAGUGGAAUUGCAGAUGUUGGAUGUACUACCAAAGAUUUGAGAAAGGUUGAAAGAGAUUUAAAGAAAAAAAGUCAAGGGACAUGAAUAAUUUGAUUUAGAAAAGAUAAAGAAACCAACCUUUAUAUUUCGAAGUUGAUAGAGAUAAGGAAAAUAGGUUCAUCCCAUUUUUGGGUUGAUUCCACUUCAAGAAAAGCUUACUUAUUUUUUUGGUGAUGUAGUUGCUUUUGAUACGACUUACAACACAAAUAAGGGAUAACCAUCACAACCAGACAAUUAUAUUUGGGUGUGGUUUCAUUUUAUCAUUCAGGUUGCCUCUUCUGAGAAAGUUUCUGGCUCCAUCCAUGGAUGGAAGGGUAGGCAGAAACAUUAAUCUCCCAACAACCAAAUAUAAAACUUAAAUGUACUUUAGGUACAAAAGAAAAUUAUAUAUAUACUAAACGCCUAACAUUGUGGUUAAUACCCUUUGUGUCCUUUUUACUGUUCAUUCGCAAGUGUUCUUCCUUUUUUACCCUUUAUUUGUUUCUGUCAUCACUGUUCAUUCUACAGUAGAAUGGCAUUUUUGUCCCUGUUGUGCAACAGGGGUUCUUUUAUUCGUUUGUGCCUGAAAUUGAAGGAGCGGAAAAACUGGGUUGUUCGGGAGACUUCUUUCUACAAUUUGAUUUUGUCACCUGGCGGCUUAGCAUAAUGACACGUGUUGAGUGGGACGCGUGUCACUUUACCCAUCUCCUCUUUCUCUGCUUUUGCUUUGCUUUAGUUUUUUGUCUCCUCUUCCAGACUCCUCCAUCCUUAUUCCUCAACUUUGGACAACAUCUCCUCCGCUCCAUCUCCUAGCUAUCUUUUUCUCUCUAUUUUUUCUCCGACUUCUUUUUUAUUUGUUAAUAUCGAUUUGUUUCCGUUUAUAAAUGAUUCUCAUCUUUUUUUUUUUGCAGUUUUCUAUGAAGGUUUAUUUGCAGUUUUCUAUGAAGGUUUAGUUGAACAUGGGGAAAUCAAGAGUUGAUGCUCACAGAAAAACUGAUGCGAAGUGAGAUUAUGUUUUUUAUUUCCGUUUUGUUAUGAAUUUUCACAACUUUUUGCGAUUUGAUUCAAGAUCUCGAUAUGAACCGUCAAUUUUGAAUUUUUGUUUAAUUUCUGUACACCUGUUGGUUGCAUGUCCAAGAAAUUUCUUUUUUGGGUAUCUUCAUUGUCCAAGUUCUUGAUAAGUUUCUGUAUCUUUGAGAAUCCGUUAUUUAUCAUUUCUCCGUCAAUGAUUUUGACAGGCUGGUUCUUGAGUUUCUCUGUCUUGAUUAUACUUAUCAUCAAUGUAAGUGAAAACAAAUAUAAAGUUGUACUGCGAACUUGACUUUUGAAAAGAUCACCACCAAGCUCUGUUUGAUAUUAACCACAUAUCUCAUCUUUAUUUGUGUGUCGGUGUUGGUUUCUGAUUUUCAUAGGUUGAAGAGUAAACGUGGAGAUGCGAGCAAGGAGGUUGCGAAGGAUCCGAACAAGCUUAAGAGGCCUGCAAGUGCCUUAUUCGUUGUCAUAUACGUUUCGUUUUUCCAAUGAUUUACUUUUUGUAAUUUAUGAAUUUUUCGUUAAAUUUUAUCUAGAGAGGAUUUUUUGGCUAAAAAUUUUUAAGAUUUAUUUUCCACUUUGUUUCGAUUUUUGGACCUCUUGGUGUUUCAAAGACACAAACCAACACACAACCCACAUAUUAAUAACAUUAUCACUCCUACCUGUUAAUUUUUAUAUUUUUUUUCAGAUAAAAUUUGAGGCCAAAGUUGUUCGCUUUUUUAGUUUCUGCUGCUGCUCGGCUGCCUUCAGACUAUGUAAUGAACUCUUCUUCCCCAAAUAUCUCUUCUUCUGAUUGUAUAAUCUUCAUGGUCUGUUUGGGCUGUUCGGUUUUCAAUUGGAUUCUCUCUGUUGGUUCUGUGUUUGAAUUUGGAAAAAUACAUAUGUUGCUUUUAUAGUUUGAUUAACAAUUCUAUUAGAAUUGGCUAAUUCUUUUACUAAUCAUUCGUUUGUACUCAUAUUUCUAACGUUGGAGGUUUAUUCUAAUUUAAGAUGGAAAUUGAUGUUAUGAAGAGUUUAAAAUGUCAGGUCGAAACACUGUCUUUCUGCAUGCAACUGAGCUUCUCAAUUUCUUAAUUUCUAAACAUUUGAGGUACUCUUCUUCUUAACAAUGCGUUCUCUCCACUUCCUUAUCAUGAGUUUGGUCACCGAGAGAGUGGAGAAUGAUUUCCUGAGUUCUCUUGCGUUGAUUAUUUAAGACUGAAACUAAUGAUGCCUUUGUUGAGGAAUAAGCUUUUAAAUGAAACUAAGCUGCAGAAACAAAGUCCAGGGUAAGUUGAGGGGUUUGAGAGGGUAAAAGUGGGAUAAUGAAGGGUUAGAGAGGAAAGUAAGGGUGGGACUAGGUGAAGGUUUGAUGGAAGCUAACUCUUAUAUAUGAUGUCGUUGAAAAACAAAGUCAAAGAUAAGUUGACGGGUUUGAGAGAAAGUAAAGGUGAGAUUAAUUGGAAUUAGGCCAUUCACUAGAAUGGAUAUAUUCUUAUGUGUAUUUGGAAUACAAAGUAGUAUAAUAUGUGAUAUAUGUGGUAUAAUUUCUAUACUUUUUCUUAUGUCUUUUUAUGCCUUGGUCCAAUUACCUUUUGAAUUCAAUCUGUUUUUUUAGAAACUUGGUUGCAAGAAAAAGUUGGAAGGGCAACAUAAUUGGAAAAUUGGGUUACAACAAUCACCCUCUAAACUGCAGAGGAGUCUGCAUUUGAAGUUCUUUUCGACUGGGAUGAGAAGAUUGGAGCCCCGAGAGCAUUCAUAAUUAGAAAUGAGCAUCAGAGUGAGUUUUAUUUGAGUUGAUUACUUACCUUUAUGUGCAUUUUUGGUUUGGCUCUUAUUUGAAAUAUUUUUCUAAUUGUGAUCAUUGUGCUUCAUGUUUUGUUAGGAUUUUGAUAUUCUAAUUUCUUUGUAUAAGAUUAGUGUAUGUGUUAGGACUUUUGGGUUUAGUCAUUUUUGUAUACUAUCACAAGAUAUGUGCUUGCACUUGCUAAUCUUUUUUGCUAUGGUUGUAUAAAUAUGAUAUUGAUGUGGUUAUAAGAAAUAAGAAAGUGACUUCAAAUGCCCAUUUCAUUUGAGUCUUAUCUGUUCCGUCUGAAUAUUAAUAAUCAGAUCAAAUUCUUUGACCUAAGCCGUAAAUUUUGUGGGUUGAAAAAAAAAAACACUCUGAAUUAUGUGAAGUGGAAUGAAACCAUAGGUUUUUGUAAUACAUUUGGAAAUGAACAUUAUUAUGCUUUUGUAAUAUGAUGCUCUCUUAAUUUUAUUAAGUAAUUUGUUUCUGUAAUACGAUGAUCUCUUAACUUGCUUUUGCAGAUCUUCUUUGGUUCCUAUGCUAGCUUUGUGUGUCUCCAUCUCCAAAUAAUUUAGUUGAAAAUCACUAAUACGCAUGCAAAUUUGAAAGGGUUUUGAUCUUUCGAUGAGUUUAAAAUGUUUGUUGGUGGUGGUUGUAUUGCUGUCAAAUAUUUGUUGGAUAGUUUGGAAUGGAGAAGUUCGUUGAUUUAGAGAAACUGAAUACACAAGGAAUUUGGAAGAGUUUUUGGUCUUAUAUUGGUUUAACUACUUUUUUGACAAUCACGAGUACUGGAGGGAACUUUUGGUGUUCCAUUGAACAAUUUUUGUCAUAUUUUAUCAAUGUAAAUGACACAAUAUUUCUUAACGGUUUUUUGCAUGUAAAUAGCCCAAAGUUCCAUAACCUUUUGUAUGUAAGUACUGCUGUUGAUCGAAAAUCACAAAAACUACCCAAGUGGAAUGUGUAAUAUUCUAUGUACGUAGAUAGCCAACACUUCUACAAUUUUAUGUGGAGUAUCAAUUAAAUAUAGCAAUGAAUUGUAUUAAUCUUUUAUGACACAAUUUUUUAUAUCUGUCAAACAUAAUCCUUUUUACAUUUUUUAAUCCCGCAACAACGUGCGGGCAAUAAUUUCUCGUAUUUUCUAUUUGAGUAGAAACGAAAAUGGAGUACUAUUAAAAAAAAUAUAGGAAAAUAUGUGAGGAAUAUUAUUCUUCUUGUGAACCUUGAGAAAUUCCUCUUGCUUCUUUGUUCAUCAGCUUCUUCUUCCAGGAAAAUUAAUUACCUCUGCUCCGACAACCUUUUGGUCAAUUCAAAAUAAAGGAGAAGUAUAACUCAGCAAUUUGCUUUGGUUUUUGCUCUCCAAACAAAUUUAUAAAGCAUUCUGUAAUGUAGCUUUAAUAAAAAAUUCAAAGCAAAAGAUAAACAAUUAGGUACAUUAUCAUAAUAAGUUACUCAAUUGUUGGAGAUCAUUGGACCCUUUUUCAAUUUAUUUUUAAAUUCUAGUGUCAGAUUGAUAUGUCGUCGGUAAUUAAUUUUGAUCAGUUCAACAAUUGGUACUUGAUUUGUGAUGAUUUUAGCCAUUCCCAUUUCCUUAGAAGAAAAUAGAGAAAAUAGAAAGAAAAGGAAAUGACAAAUGAAAAUUUAUGCAUGAGAGAGAUGUACCUUUUCCUUAGGAAGAGGAAAUGUUGCUCAUUGUUUACUUGGACUUGCAUAUUGCUGUGGAAGUCAGAAGUAGAGGUUAAAAACUCAGGGCACUCCAGCACAUGCAAGUAUUCCAACGAAGGGCACAAAAGUGUAGCACUUCCAGCGAGUACGCUUGUCAGCUUUGAAAGACUUUGCAAUGCUAAGUUCUUCAGUUGUGGAAAAAUGAUCUCGUCAUCCUGCACUAUUAAUCCCUCACUUACGCCGAAAAGUUUGUCCAAGCUAUGGCAUUCCUCCACCCAAGCUCUUCCAAUUGCAGCAGACAUUGAGCUAUGUCGAAUGUGAAGAGAGUUUUCAGUUUCUUGCACUUGGAAAUUAUCAAAGUUUUAAGAUUAUGAAACAUUGCAGGCUGAGCAGGACCGUUCCAUAUGUUUGUCAGUUCUGGUAGAUUCUCCAGUUUCAUCUCUCUCAAUUUUGUCAAGACCGUUUCUCCUUGUUCAAGCCCUUGAGAUCUGAAUGUAUAAACCAUGUCGGCUCCACCUACAAUAAGUACUUCAAGAUUUUGUAGUCUCCGCAACAGAUUAGAUGGAACAAGUGCAUCCGUCACACCAUCACACUGCUCCACCCCCAAGAUCUUGAGAUUUCCAAGCGACCCCUGCGGUAAUUCACCAACACAUAACUGCUGCAAGCAGUCCCAUAAGAAGAGACGCAACUCUUCCAAGCUCUCGAGCACAGGCUUAUUUGGAACCCUAGUUACUGUGUUCAUCAAAGUUACCAUCUCGCUGCACGCUUGGAUAUGCAAAAACUUUAGUCCAUGUGACUUCCAAUGAUCGUACUCCACAAGAAUGUUAGUUAAACUUCUAGGCUCCAUGUAGAUUAUUUUCUCCGCUCUCUCCGUCACUGUGAUGUUAAACCAAUCUGGCAGCGUAUUGAUUGUUGUGUCCAGAAGCAAGGCUCUUGAAGUUGAAUGUGGAGUAAUAGUAUUUUUUGAUAAUUGCACAUUUAUGGACCGAUGAAAUUGGUUUCUGCUGAUACAUAUAUCAAAAUUUGCCCAGUUUCGAAGGAACCCUACAUUUUUCGGAAGGCAUUCUGCAUCAGAAAUGUCAACCUUCAAAAUGUUUAAGUAACACAAGCUAAUUAGCUCAUCAAAACUAGCAUUAGUUUUGUCAUCUUCUCCUUCAACUUUCUUGCCCCAGUCAGCAAAACUCUGUUGCAUGUAUAGUUCUUCUAAUUUGGACAGCCGCGAUAUCACAUUGGAUGGAAUUGUUGCAAUGUAGGCACUCAAAGUGAGAUCCAACAUCCUUAAAUUGGUCAAAUGUCCAAAUUCUUCUGGCAAUUCCUCAAUAACAGAUUCUCUCAUACUAAGAACCUCCAGUUUUUUCAGUUCUCCGAGAAUUGAUACAUCCGUUAUUGUCUGACAAUUAUCUAGAUGCAGCGCUUGGAGCUUGGUUAAGAGAUUAAAUGAUGAGGGUAAUGAAGAAAUUUGGGUACUACUUAUGUCGAAUACCCUUAAUGCAUUUGGGCUUUGGAAAAAAUCUUCUGGGAUCUCCUCUACUUCAAAAUUUGACUGUAGUAAUAAAAUCUGGAGUUUUGGACAUACCAACUCGUCAGGAAGAUUGCAGAUUUCAUUCCCCAUUAGGGAGAUUGCAGAGUAGUCUUCGAGUGAAUUCUUUGGCCAAUCCUUUAAGUCGCAGCCAGCUUUUACGAAGAAUCCAUGGCCAUCCCCAGAUGAUGCAAUUAGUAUUGCCAUGUCCCGAAUCACAUCAUGCAUUCUUACACAUCCGUCUUCUUCACCAUCCAAAACCAAGCUACAAGCUUUGAGGUACUUGGCCACCGAAUGUGCUGUGCUUCUGGCUUCUUGCAUUGAGUUGGCAUCUCGAAACAAUCCUUUCCCAAUACCAUACUUCAGCAAGUCUUCAAUUUGGAUAUCAGAGUCCUCCGGGAAUAAGCAGCAAAAUAAGAAAAAUGACUUGGCGUCAUUGCCAUUCAAGUAAUCGUAGCUCAGCUUUAUACAUCUGAACACAUCCCCCUCGUCAUCAAGGUUGGUAGUUUGGGACAUCUCUAGUCGUCGAGCUGCUUCUCUCCAUUCUUCCAAGUCCUUGUCUCCGAGUGCUCUUGCAACUGCAAUCAAAGCAAUCGGGAGACCACCACAUUCUCCAGCCACCUUCCUCGCUAUGUCAUAGAAAUUGGUUGAUUCAAAAGACCUGUUUGCCUUUUUCACAAACAAGGCCCAAGAAUCUUCUUCUGAUAGGAUAUUGAGAUGAAUCUUUUCUUGGCUCUUCAUGGCAUGACAUACAUUCCUUAUCCUUGUGGUGAGUAGAACUUUGGCCUUGCAGUUUUGGAGCUCGUAGUGAUCGGGGAUCCCUAUGAGAGACAAAUCUAUUGUCUUCCAAAUGUCGUCCAAAAUUAUAAGGAUCUUUUUUCCUCUCAUUAUUCUCUCCUUCAAUCUAGCUGCUCUGGCUAUUUCUGUCUGCUGAUUCAAAUUCAAGUCCAGCAUUUCUGCAAGCUGUUGUUGAAUCUUUACCAGGUUUGGGUUUUGGGAAACGACAGCCAUAAUCACAUGAUCAAAGAGCUUGCCUUUACCCACUUGCACACCGACAUGUUUCACCAUGGUCGUCUUGCCUAUGCCUCCCAUUCCAUGGACCGCAAUGACAGUGACGUUAUCGUCUUUCAGUGCCUUCAUGACCUGAUCCAUGGCUUGCCUUGUUGCUUCAAAUGCUUCGAAAUCUCCAGUUGACAUGGUCUCAAACUCAACGGGUAGGUGAACUUGAAGCGAAACUGUUUCAAACCUUUUCUCUUCAUUAAGCUUGUUCAUUUCUUCUGCCUCCUUAACGGCUCUCUUGCUUAAACCGUAACGCCAUUUCAAAUUCGGACAGCAGCCUCCGAGGCAUGUUUUGUCUUCUCCGGCUUCAUUAUUCAGUCUUUUGGCAUCGUUUAUGGCCUUGUCAACAUCCUUGAGCCAUUUUUGAACCUCGGACUUAACUUUGUCUCCAUUCAUUAACGCCGCAUCCACACUUUGCUGGUAAUCAUUCUGCGUGGUCUCAAGCUUUUCUAUCAGUUUUUCCAGAGACUGUAUGUGUCUCUUGUAAUGCACCAAGUAACCCACAUUACGCUUCGCUGGAGUCCAUAACAACUCACCAACUCGUAGUACAAAACUACAAAUUUCCAUACCUGUCCUUUUUAAAUAAAUAUAAAUAAAUAACAGAGAAAAACAAAUUGUAAGAUUCAAAGAUCAAACAAUAAAAUAGGUACCACCAAAAACGGAGAAACUAUGUAGGAUUUUGAUAACUAGAUGACUAACCUGGAUCUUCUUUAGCUUCAACUGGUACAGACUUUGAGAGCGUUUUGUGCCUCGGACGAAUCUCAAUGACUAUGAGAGGAUGUUUAGGCUUGGUUCUUCUGAUGUCUGAUAACAGAAAAGGUAGACGAAGGAUCAGCAGAGAAAGAAUCCAACUAUAUUUUUUUCGUUUGUAGUUUUUGGAGUAGGACUGGGAACGAACUCUUUAAACACUUUCGAGCAUCUCCAAUCAUUCUUCGAGAAAUUUUCAGUUUGCCCGAGCACGGCCGUAUACACCAAGUGUCAUAAUACAAUUGGUUGAAGAUUUUUUUUUUCUUUCAAAUUUUCAACCAGUUGUAUUAUAACACUUGAUGCACUCUACACCGGACGUGUUCUCGUCACCCUAAAAAAUCUCUCAUCCUUCCUAUUUUGAAGCUAAAUUAAUUUUAGCUAAGCUUCAAAAGGAUAGUUUGGACUUUCUAGUUGUCUGCUAAUUAAAAAUAGUUUGUUUUGAAUCGAUUCAGUCCAAAAAUCUAAUUUGUUUUUUAAAUUGAGUCUAAUUAUAAGUUUGUAACAUACCUAUAUUAAUAAGACCAUAAAAUGUUUUAACCGAAAUUUAUUUAAGAUAGUAUUGAAUACAACUAAUAAUGAGAGGUAGAUUAUAAACAAAAAAAUAUCUAUAAUAUAGGCAACUAAAAAUAAUUUAUCUGUGGUAUAAGUAGAUUAUUGACAAAAAAGUAAUAAUAUCUAGAUAUUAUUUAGUAAAGAGACAGAAUGCACUACAGUUGAUGACACGCCCGCCCUGAUAUUCAUCAAACAUCAGGGUAGACACGUGCUGGCCGACACCUGAAGGUGACGAAGCCAUAUUAGGAUGCAUGAGAACUAAAACAAAUAACCAACAUAAAUAAAACUUGUAAAUUUAAUUAUAAUUAAUAUGCAAAUGAGGAACGUGUUCAGAGCAUACAACUAAUAUAGAACAUCAAAAAGAAAUAAUAUAAAAUUGAAUGAACAAGGGAAUAGGUCCUACACCAAGAGGACUCAAGAUGUUGAUGCCGGAAUGCCUUGACGCAACGUAUCGAUUAUAAGUUCUGAGGAGGCGCAAAACAAAACUUGAGUGGACCAAGUUGAUACAUAGAUAAUACUAAAAUAGUUAAUCUUUAAUGUACUAACCCUCAUGUUUAGAAAACUCGUAUAGCAUAAUAAGUAAUAGGUUUUUCCGAAAUCCUAGCAUGCCAUAAAACCUUUCAUAAAACAUAUAUAUCAUAUAUAAUGUGCUUAGCAGUGGUAUAUAUAUAAGGCAUAUACAUAUAUAUAAUAUUUCAUUCGUCCGAAGGCAUAUAGAACACUUCUUCAUUCAUCCGAAUGUUCUACAUCACGCGCUAGUAGGUAGAUCAUUCGCGCGUAGGCACUACAUCUCCCGGUCGAAGCCAAUAUAAAUAUCUUCCGGCCGAAGCCACUAACCUACGCCCAGCCGAAGCCAAUAUAAAUAUUUCCCGUCCGUAUGCACCAACCAAACGCCAGACCGUAGCCAAUAUAAAUACCUUCCACCUGUAGGCACCGUAGCCAAUAUAAGUAUCAAUCACCCGUAGGCUCCUACAGCACCCACUCUAAAUCAUAUAUAAAAGUAUCAUUCGCCCGUAGGCAGAACCGUUUGAAAAACCAUUAAGUAAUUACAUAAGUAUAUAUCUAUCUUAAUCGAAGUUCAGUAGCCAAAACGUCAUAUCGUAAAACCUAUUAGUAGUAUAUAGUCAUCAAUCAUAUAUACUACGAAGAACGUAAAAUUGAUAAAGUGUGGUACUUCAAAAUAUUCUCAGUAAAACAUGAUAUCUCAUAAAGUAAAAUAUAAUUUACUCAUAAAACGUAACCAUUAAAUCAUGCUUUUCAUGUAUGCAUUACUAAUACUAAAAUCAUGCAUUUUAGAAGAGGUCUACUCACCUUACAUCAUUGGCGAAGAGCUGUGUAAAUAAGGGUGGAUGGAAAUGCCAUUAAUAAACAUACCUAAGCACAUAAAAGAUCCAAUUAAUAAAACUCUAUCAUAACAAUUGAAUUUUGGAAAACAUACAUCAUAAACGGGUUUAAGACGUCAAAAAUUAGUCUAGGAGAGAUUCCGACCGAAACCCGAAAAAAUCAACCCACAGUCAACGUUGAUUGUCCGGUCAACGGUCAAAAUCAAUGGUCAGUCAAAGUCAACGGGUCUGGGCUUGGGUUUGCGUUUUGGAUUUGGGUUUGAGUUUUGGCUUGGGCUUGGGCUUGGGCUUGGGUUUCACAUAUGGGUUUGGUUCUGUUGGGUCAAUGUGUUUGUAACUAGGUUGGGCCAAAAGUCAUUUGGGUUUGGGCUUCGUAGCCCAACCCAACGGUUCUGGGUUGUAUGGUUUUGGGUUUAAGGGUUAUUAGAUAUGGGUUUGAGGAUUUAGGUCUGGUCAACUUGGUUUCAGGUCAUAGUUUGGCCGGUUUUUGGGCACAACUUCAAACACCCAUAACUUCUUCGAUACUUAACCAAAUUAAGUGAUUCAAAAACCAAAGUUGUAGUACUCAACGAGAUGAAGAGAAUGGUACCUUGCACGAUGCCUAACUCACCGUGUAUUGGUCAGAAAAUGCCUCACAAGUGGCCGUGCUCGUCGGAAAUUGGGUAAACUUUAAAAGUUCAUAACUUCUUCAAUACUCAACGAAAUUAAGUGAUUCAAAAACAAAAAUCAUACUUCUCGACGAGACAAAGAGAAUGGUAUCCUUCUCGAUAGCUAACUCACCGUGGUUUGGUCGGAAAAUGGCCUGAAAGGUAGCGGCCCGACUUGGUUUCGAUCCCGACGAUCCGGAAGGGAAGUUCGAGGUGAGUUUGGGUGUUCUAGGCUCGUGAGGAUGAGACAAAGCUCGUGGUGCUCUUGGUUUGGGCGGUGGUGGAAAUGUUGUCGUUGUUGUUGCUUGUAGUGCCCUCGAGGAGGGCUGGUUUUUGAGAGAGAGUGAAAGUGAGGGAGAGAGAUGAGAGAGUUGUGUGAGAGAGGGAGAGCUCACAGGUCCAAAAGGGAAACAAAGGAAAGAGGGUCGGGGUACAACCAAAGGGAGUGGGCCCUUGGGCACACCAAAUAAGACCCAAAAGCAUAAUUUUAAAAUAAAUGUCCCAAACUUAGUGAAACUACAAAUAUGCCCUUUUGUUCUGUAAAUUCCGAUGGAUUGUUACAGUUGAAGGAAUUUAAUUUUACAAUUCCUUAAAAUUUUCAGUUUUAUGACAGACUUAAUAAAAAGAUAAUAAUCAAUGGACCUAUUUUUAGAAAGUGGACUAUUCCUCGUAAUAACUCACAAAUUGGAUUUAUAUUGAAUUUAUCCUUACAAGAAUACUAAGGUGUCUAGUUUCUGAGAAUUACAACCACUAGCGGCCUAUAUAACUAAAGAAAGGAUAUUUAUAUAGUGAUUGUAAUUUGGAGCGCGUGAUUAUUAUUUUUUUGAGUAUUUACGACCAUUAAAAAACAUAUCUAUAAUCUAUUUGCAAGGAACUACUAGAGUUCAUUUUUAAGAUGCAUGGUAGAGACUCAGUGCGUAGUAUGGUUAGGGUUGAGUUUUUAAAUUCCGACUUUAAAUUUCAAGUAAAUAGUUUCAUUUCUAAAUUUUUACAAGUUAUAGUUAUCAUCUCCUUAACUUUUACACACCCACUACCCUCACUUCUACCAUCAUCAUGCCACAACCACCUUGCCAUUACCACCACCACGCCCACCAUUAUCGCAGUUAGUGCUACCGUUGCAACCGUUACCUCCACUCCCACCAUCAUUGUUGUAAACACCACAACUAUGACUUCCACUAUCAACACUGCCACUGCUGCCACCAAUCAUCAAACCUCCUCCACUACCCACCAGACCAUCACCGUAGCCCUUAGCACAUUUACCAACUACCACCUUCUGUAUUUAAAUUUCAUUAUAUCUUUAGAUUGGAAAAUACUAGGGAAACCAAAUUUCUAAACCAAUUUUUGCAAAACAAAUUAUGUGGAUUUUGAUGAUUGAAUUAUUGCUCAGUGUUGUUUAACGUGCUUAUUUUCUAUUUGUGACACAUCAUUUAGUUUGCAAACUUUAUUUAAAAAUUUAGUGUGACCAUCUCAAACCCUUAGGUUAAAACCUAAAAUUUUUAACCUAGAAAAUUUAGGUUAACCACAAAGUUAGGGAUAGAUUAGCAGCCAAGAAUUUACUUUGAUUAUAAUUGAUUAUAGUUGACUUUGUAUAGAAUAAUUAACUUGAUUGUAUUAUUCCUUGAUUAUAGGAUCACAGUUAUAUAUAUUUUUCAACUCAAUGAAUGAAAUCCUUAUUCUGGCAAACAUCCUUUUUGUCAUUCUUUACAAAAAUAGCUCCAAAGUCACCGCCAAAACUCCGACGUCACGAACUCAGUCAUUUUUUAUUCUGUUUAUAUGGAUGGACUCGUGAGGAUGAUACGAAUACGAUGAUGGUAAUUUGGAGUCCGUUCUCUAACGUUUGAUGAUUUGUGUUUGAGUUGCAGAGUGAAGAAAACACACGGGUUAGAGAGAGAGAUGAGUAUGAGGGAGAGAGAGUGAGAAUGAGAGAGAGAGAGAGAGAGUGCAAAGGUUUGAGAGAGAGAGAAGGUUAGAGAGAAUGGUGGUUUAGUUUGUUAGGUAGGGAGAGUAGAUGAGUGCACGGGAGAUGUAGGUGAGAACGUGGGAAAAAAUCUGAAAUCUGACAUUCAAAAUUCUGUGCUGUUAAAUAAUACCGCUUAGUUGGUAUGUACAAUUUUACCUAUUGUUAGCGUACUUUAAACUAAUGUAAGUUCUCGUUACAAAUCCGAUUUGAGUCUAGUUUGCGCUUAUGCGUUCGUAAUUACGAGUAUUAUUUUAAUACGAUAAAAUGAAAAUAAAACAAAAAGGCGGAUAAUAAUGUACACAUCGGAUUCCACUUUAUCAACAAGGACAUAAUCGACAUUUUACAUAGGAAAUUAGUGACGGGUUGUCACAGUUGAAGCAAGUUGGGGUAAGUUUAAAACCUAAAAUUUAAGUUUUACUCUAAGAAUUGAAGUAGGUUUUAGCAUUAUCUUUUUAAAUUAUUAGAUAAAUAAGAAAGGAAACUUUGGAAAUAUAACCAUUUUGAGAACCACCUAGUGGAAUAUAGCCUAUGUUUUUCAUUUGUUAUAAAAUUAACCAAAAUUAAAGUUAAAAAGACUUAAUUACCCUUAUGUAGAACUCUCACCUCCUAUCUCUACUGUCUGUCUCCUACGCUCCAAGUUGAAGAAAGAGAAAGCAUUCCAUUUUGCAGAAGAAUCUCCCAAAUUCCAAUCCAGCAGAACACUUUCUCAUUUCUUUAUCCUAAAUUGAAUUCCUUAAGGGAGGAAGACAAUAAUAUCAAAUGUUAUAUAAUUUAGAUUAUGAUACUCUAUUAGAAAUCAGUGCAUUUAGAGUAUCCAUCUCUGGAUUAUAGCAUGUAUUGCUCUUCCUCUCCAGAUACAGGUAGGUACUGGAUCGUUCGAUUUUUAAAUUGUAACUGUAAUCCUAUCGUUUUCUUGCGUUUUCUCGGUAGCCAACCAGUCAACAUUUCUUUUCCGUGCGUGCAGAUUCUUGGCAACCAACCGAUUGAAGGUUUCGAUUCGAAAUCCAUUGAGGGAUUGAGAUUGAGAUUAGCAUUGAGGAAUCAGGUGUGUCGGAGAUAAAUAGCAGAGGAGGAGAACGAGAGUUUAACUUGUUGGUUUCUUGCGAGAAGUUAGCAAUGAUCAUUGUACACACAGAUUAAUUGCCUUCAACUCAUCCAACCAAAAGGACUAUUUAGUAUUUAUAAAUGGAGGGUCCUGAAGAUUGACUGUUUACAGUUGGAGAUGACAACACGUACAAAGGCAUCCAAAUAAAGUCGAAGCUCAUGACAAACAGUCCUAGAGAGCGAAUGAGUUCUUAAUUAGUAGGUAGACAGCAAACAUUUUCCCAAGCAAGAAUUUAAGAUGGACAAUAUGGUGGGUGAAUAUUUUGGCUACAAUUAAACUAUUUCGUUAAUUGAAUCAUGUUGGUUUCUUGCGAGAAGUUAGCAAUGAUCAUUGUACACACAGAUUAACUGCCUUCAACUCAUCCAACCAAAAGGACUAUUUAGUAUUUAUAAAUGGAGGGUCCUGAAGAUUGACUGUUUACAGUUGGAGAUGGCAACACCUACAAAGGCAUCCUAAUAAAGUCGAAGCUCAUGACGAACAGUCCCAGAGAACGAAUGAGUAAUGUCUCUCUUAAUUAGUUAGUAGGUAGACAGCAAACAUUUUCCCAAGCAAGAAUUUAAGAUGGACAAUAUGGUGGGUGAAUAUUUUGGCUACAAUGAAACUAUUUCGUUAAUUGAAUCAUGUUGGUUUCUUGCGAGAAGUUAGCAAUGAUCAUUGUACACACAGAUUAACUGCCUUCAACUCAUCCAACCAAAAGGACUAUUUAGUAUUUAUAAAUGGAGGGUCCUGAAGAUUGAUUGUGUACCGUUGGAGAUGGCAACACCUACAAAGGCAUCCAAAUAAAGUCGAAGCUCAUGACGAAUAGUCCCAUAGAGCGAAUGAGUACUGUCUAUCUUAAUUAGUAGGUAGACAGCAAACAUUUUCCCAAGCAAGAAUUUAAGAUGGACAAUAUGGUGGGUGGAUAUUUUGGCUACAAUGAAACAAUUUCGUUAAUUGAAUCAUGUUGGUUUCUUGCGAGAAGUUAGCAAUGAUCAUUGUACACACAGAUUAACUGCCUUCAACUCAUCCAACCAAAAGGACUAUUUAGUAUUUUAUAAAUGGAGGGUCCUGAAGAUUGACUGUUUACAGUUGGAGAUGGCAACACCUACAAAGGCAUCCUAAUAAAGUCGAAGCUCAUGACGAACAGUCCCAGAGAACGAAUGAGUAAUGUCUCUCUUAAUUAGUUAGUAGGUAGACAGCAAACAUUUUCCCAAGCAAGAAUUUAAGAUGGACAAUAUGGUGGGUGAAUAUUUUGGCUACAAUGAAACUAUUUCGUUAAUUGAAUCAUGUUUGGUUUCUUGCGAGAAGUUAGCAAUGAUCAUUGUACACACAGAUUAACUGCCUUCAACUCAUCCAACCAAAAGGACUAUUUAGUAUUUAUAAAUGGAGGGUCCUGAAGAUUGAUUGUGUACCGUUGGAGAUGGCAACACCUACAAAGGCAUCCAAAUAAAGUCGAAGCUCAUGACGAAUAGUCCCAUAGAGCGAAUGAGUACUGUCUAUCUUAAUUAGUAGGUAGACAGCAAACAUUUUCCCAAGCAAGAAUUUAAGAUGGACAAUAUGGUGGGUGGAUAUUUUGGCUACAAUGAAACAAUUUCGUUAAUUGAAUCAUGUUGGUUUCUUGCGAGAAGUUAGCAAUGAUCAUUGUACACACAGAUUAACUGCCUUCAACUCAUCCAACCAAAAGGACUAUUUAGUAUUUAUAAAUGGAGGGUCCUGAAGAUUGACUGUUUACAGUUGGAGAUGGCAACACCUACAAAGGCAUCCUAAUAAAGUCGAAGCUCAUGACGAACAGUCCCAGAGAACGAAUGAGUAAUGUCUCUCUUAAUUAGUUAGUAGGUAGACAGCAAACAUUUUCCCAAGCAAGAAUUUAAGAUGGACAAUAUGGUGGGUGAAUAUUUUGGCUACAAUGAAACUAUUUCGUUAAUUGAAUCAUGUUGGUUUCUUGCGAGAAGUUAGCAAUGAUCAUUGUACACACAGAUUAACUGCCUUCAACUCAUCCAACCAAAAGGACUAUUUAGUAUUUAUAAAUGGAGGGUCCUGAAGAUUGAUUGUGUACCGUUGGAGAUGGCAACACCUACAAAGGCAUCCAAAUAAAGUCAAGAGAGUUUUAACAAAAUACUCCUGAUACUGUUCACUUUUAACGAAAAACCAUAUUUAUACAUUUCCCUGGUACUAUUCACUAUACCUUUAAAAAUGACUUUUAAUUAAAAGGGAAGUUUUUUUAGACUUUUCGGUAGUUUUCCUUAAAGUCGAAGCUCAUGACGAACAGUCCUAGAGAGCGAAUGAGUACUGUCUCUCUUAAUUAGUAGGUAGACAGCAAGUACUAAAAAUAUUAAAAUCCGUAAAUUCAAAUUCCGUCUAUUUGAAAUUAAUUAGUACUUUUUUUUUUAGAGAUGGACUUAGUCUCACAAUAGACUAGCACUAAUGUGGUUCAAAUUCGCUUUUAGUGAAAAUCAAACCUAACACCUCUACAUAUAAGUGAAAAUGAAUACUACCAAUAAACCGUAGUAAUUUCAUUUUCUAAACAGAGAGUUAAGAAAAUAACUUAGAAAUAAAAUGACAUCCGUAAGUCACUCACUCAAUUUCUAAUCUAAGUAAAUUAAAUACAUAAUUUCCAACGGGUUGUACAUUUGCGUUUUCUCUUUAUACCUGACAACUUGAUGAUCCGUGCUUUGGUUCACCAACUCGACUCCGCCGCCAUGGCCGUUCAGUUCAACUUCGACUAGGUUGCUGUUGGGGUGGGGUGUUAGCACAACUAUUCACUUAUCAGAUAAUUCUCUCUAGUUGUAGAGCUGUAGAUGGACUCACUGUUCUAAAGAUCGGUCACAAAAUGGGAAAGCAUAUUAGACGGAAGCCUGGACAGAAUUAAGCGGAGCUGGCAGGGGCUGGUCGGGGACUAAGAGGACGUAUCGAGAACGCUGAAAUAUGGAAAAAAAAUAUUUGUUGCAGAGGCUGCGUUCGGUGUUCGCGCGAAGAAGAAGGCGCGUCUCUUUUUUAUCUCUUCAAGAUGUGGUCCCUCCAUCUUCCCCUUUUAUAUUGUUUUAAUUUAAGGUAAACUAUGGUUUGACCUCUUAAAUUAUUACUCCAGUUGAAAUUGAUCACUUAAAUUAUUUUUUUAGUAAAUUAACCUCCUAAACUAUUUAAAAUCUGCUAAUUAACCCCUUGCCUUUAGAUUCCGUCCACUAUGCCGUCAAAUUCAAGGGCAAGUUAAGACUUUUUAUCAUCAAUAUGGAGCAAAAAAUAAUCAAGAAAAUUAUGAAGGUAACACGUGGACUAUUAGGUGAAAAUGACAAAAUUACCCUCGAUGCGCACCGUGAUUCCCACACGCAUACGACGGACAAUAACAGCUCAAUCAAGGAAGAGUCAAAAGUGAUAAAAAUUGGAUUUAUUCAAAUCUCUCUCAUCACACCUCGUCAAAUCCUCACUCAAAAGGUAACUCCCAAUUUUUCUGUUCAAUUUAUGAUUAAUUGCCAAGUUAAUUGCAAGAUAUUAUUUUACAUAAUUUCUUGCAAUUAUACUCAUAUUUCUACCAUAUAUGGCCGGUCCUUAUUCUCCAAAUGGAGCCGGCCACUCCCAUAUAAAUAGUCAUAUUCUCCCACUAAAAUGUUAAAUCAUUAUCUACCCACAAAUUCCUAAACACAUUUUCUUUCAAAUUCUAACUUUGACAUCAGAGAUUAUUCGGCCAAAGUCCUCCAUUCAUCGUGGGCGCAUGAGGCUUUUGGCCUUAAUCUUAGGUGUUAUGAUUUUCCAGGUGCAUUUUCGUCAGAGGAGAAGAUGACGAAAAUUUGCAUCCAUAAUCAAUUCUUACUUUUUAGUUAUAACCACCAACAAAAUAAUGCCAUGUGGACAUUGAAUAAUUAAUUCUUAGUUUUUAGUUAUAACCACCAACAAAAUAAUGUCACGUGGACAUUGAAUAAUUCAAAAAACUUAUAACAUAAUAAAAAACAUAAAGAAAUCAAACGUUUACAUAAAGGACUAUUUCACAUUGUCAUUACACAUUAUUAUGUGUCCACAUGUCAUAAUUUUAUUGGUGGUUAUAAAUGACAUGUAAGAAUUGAUGGUAAAAAUACUAAUUUGCCCUUGAAUUUGAUAGAAUAGUGGACUGAAUCUAAUGACAAGGGAUUAAUUAACAUAUUUCAAAUAGCUAAGGGGAUUAAUUUACCAAAAAAAAAGGUUCAGAAGGUCAAUUUUAACUGAAGUAAUAGUUCAGGUAAAAAGACAAUUUACUCUUUAAUUUAUUAGCCCCUCGUCGCCUUUUCAUUUACUCCAAAAACAAUCAUUUUCUAACUCUUAAUUUUUUUUAUUCUUUUGUAGGUGUUAUCCUAUGAAUUUUUUUUUUCGGACCUGCCAUAUAAUAUGUACUUAAAACUCUCACCUUAAACAUACAUUAUUUUAUUAAGAAAAAACAUGUUAUUCAAUGUUUAUUUAUAUAGUUAAUUAAGUUAAAUUAAUUGACUUUCUUAAUUUUGUCAUAAAAAGAUUUUUUAAUUUUUUUUUAUUUAAUUAGAAUCUCAUUAUUAUGUGAAAUAUCCAUAAUUUUUUCUAGCAUGAUCUAAUAUUAUUCAUUUAGUCUAAAUAUUUGACUUUCUUCCAGCAUGGUCUAAUAUUAAUGACUAAUAAUUUGCUACAAAUGUUAAUAAUAACGUGGUACAUGAUAUAUAUAUCUCACCCUUACCAAACUAAAAAGACAUAUAAGAUUGAUUAUGAUACUAAUCAGAGUCCCUUUGAUAACAUCUGAUAAAAUUGGAACUACCAUGAUACUUAUGAAGAAUAUGAUACAAGAAUUUGAAAACCAAACAUUUUCCCAAGCAAGUAUUUAAGAUGGACAAUAUGGUGGGUGAAUAUUUUGGCUACAAUGAAACUAUUUCGUUAAUUGAAUCAUGUUGGUUUCUUGCUAGAAGUUAGCAAUGAUCAUUGUACACACAGAUUAACUGCCUUCAACUCAUCCAACCAAAAUGACUAUUUAGUAUUUAUAAAUGGAGGGUCCUGAAGAUUGAUUGUUUACCGUUGGAGAUGGCAACACCUACAAAGGCAUCCAAAUAAAGUCUAAGCUCAUGACGAACAGUCCCAGAGAGCGAAUGAGUACUGUCUCUCUUAAUUAGUAGGUAGACAGCAAACAUUUUCACUACAAAAAAAGUAGUCAUUACUGACGAAGAUUUUCCGAGGGCCCAAAAAAAACCGUCGUAAAAAGCACAUUUUACGACCAUAAAAUAUGGGUCGUCGGUAACAUGGCAUGAAACAAAUUUUUAUUACCAACGCACAUAAUGUCCUCGGAAAAAGUCUCAAGUUUUGUCGGAAAUGCAUUUUUGUUUGGUGGGAAGAAUUGGCGCCAGUUGUAUUAACGACAAGUAAAGUUCUUAUCGGAAAUAGAAUGGUGAUUUCCGAAGGUUUACUCAUGUUGACGAAAUUGAUUCAGUAUUUUCGAGGGAAAAAAAUCCUCUUGGUAAUUUUUUUAUAUUUUUGAGGGAAAAAAAGUUCUCUCGGUAAUGCUUUUAAAAUCCUCAAAGAAAAAGGUAAUUAAAUGUCAGAAUUCAAGGGGAAAGGGAAAGGAAAUAUGCGGCACAACUUUGAGAAAAUGGGAAGGAAGAUAUGUGGCAGAUUUUGGAGAGAAAGGGAAAGGGAGUUGCGGCAAGGAAGGAUCCUUGCAGUGUGCGGCAUCAAUGUAGGAAUGGGUAAGGCCUUCUAGAAAUCAGGUUUUAGAUGCCCUAAUUUAAUUAAGGAUCAUCCUUGCAGCUGGAAAUUAGGUGGGAAAAGGAUUAGGAAAGUUUAAGGACAAAAUAAGGAAACAUGGAUAACUUUCCUUCUUUCUUGCUUGCAUCCUUUACUUCCUUUUCUUGAAUUAAUUUCUUCAUAACUUCAGCAUAAUCCUAGCCUCUUUUGGUCUUCAAUUUCGUCCAUCCACCUUGCUCCAUACAUGUGUUAUCCAUUCCAAGCCCAAAACUGCUCCAAAAUGCACUUUCUUGCCACUUUAGCCCUUUGGACCUACAAACACACGAAAAUAGCUUAAAAUACUAAAAUAACUAGGAACUAACAACAUAAAUGCAAGAAAACAAGCUAACUAAGUCGCAUAAAUAUGCUCCUAUCAACUUACACGUUUUAAAUAUAUGCUAGCCCAUUGUGUGACUAAGCCCACUCCCCUCCCCUGGAUAAUAUCGUUUGUUAAAAAAAAAACAAUCAUUUGACAACCAAUUUAAUCACAUUAUUAUCCACGUAUUUUAAUUAGUACCACACAAUAGGCUAGCAAUAAUGUGAUUCAAUCACUUGUUCGUUAAAUAUUAUUUUCUCUAUUUUUAAACACAUUCAAAACAACGUAAGAAGCGUAUAAAGCCAACAACCCCUUUUGGGGUCACAAGCUUCACCAAAAAAAUUUGGACAAAAAUACCCCCAAAACAAAAAAAUUCAAAAGCAACCCAAAAUAAUGCAAGGGUAUUUUUGUCAUUUUAACUGUAUUUUUUAAUAAUUGAAACUUUUUGUACAUUUUUUUAAAUUAGUACCUCACAAUAGGUUAGCAAUCAUGUGAUUCAAUCAGUUGUUCAUUAAAUAUUAUUUUCUCCAUUUUUAACCACAUUCAGAACAUCUUACGAGGCGUGUGAUGCCGGUUAUAAAAAAUGUCUUUUGCACGCACAUAAGAAUGUGAUUAAAUUAGUUGUCAAAUGAUUUUUUUUUACAAACGAUACUAUCUACACUAAGGAGGAGGGGGUGGGCUUAGCCUCACAAUGGGCUAGCAAUAAUGUAAUUAAUAAUGCAUCAAAUAAUGCAGGGGUAUUUUUGUUACUUUAACAGUAUUUUUUUAAUAAUUAAUUCUUUUUUGUAUAUUUUUAUUUUAAAAUGGGAAGGAGAAAAAGAGAAAAAAAGGAAUGUGAUUAGAGAGAGAAGUUUCUUUUUUAUAUGUCAUUUUUUUAAAAUUAGAGGAUGUUAGGAUCACCAUUAGGUGAGGCUCUGAAAAAAAACUGUAAAACUUAGUUUGUUUAAUUUACCUUAUUGCUCAUGAUUUCUGUUUUGUGGUAGAAGACAAAAUUGUAUUUUUACCUUCUUUUGGUUGACAAAGAAUGUUUUAUGGGUAAAUUACAUAGUAGCCCCUCAGGUUUGAGCUCUACUGCAAUCUCAUACAACAUCUUUAAAACAUUUCACUUUCAUACCUCAAGUACUAUUUUAUUUUAAUUUCAUACAACCGUUAGAUUUUCCAUCCAUGGAUCUGUUAAAUGCUGACGUGGCUGCCACAUAUAUGACACGUGGCUGCCACGUGGCAAAUAAAAUAAUUUUUUUUUUUUUUUUAAACCUGAAAUUGGAAGGAAAACAAAAAGGUCCGAGCCCAGAAGAAGAAGAAAGAGAAAGAGAAGAAGAAGAAAGAGAAAGAGAAGAAGAAAGAGGAGGGAGGAGAAAGAAGAAGAAGAAGAAGAAAAAAAAAAGAAAAAAGAAAGGGGUCCGAACCCAGAAGAAAGAGGAAGAAGAAGAAAGAGGAGGAGGAUGAGGAGGAAGAAGAAGAAGAAAAAAAAAGAGGGACCGAACCCAGAAAAAUGAGGAAGAAGAAGAAGAAGAAGAAGAAGAAAAAAAAAAGGUCCGAACCCAGAAGAAGAAGAAGAAGAAAGAGAAGAAGAAGAAGAAAGAGAAAGAGGAGGAGGAGGGAGAAGAAGAAGAGAAGAAGAAAAAGAAGAAAAAAAAAGAAAAAAAAAAGGAGGUCCGAACCAGAAGAAAGAGAAGAAGAAGAAGAAGAAGAAAGAGAAGAAGAAGAAGAAGAAGAAGAAAGAGAGAAAAAAAAAGGAGGUCCGAACCAGAAGAAAGAGAAGAAAGAGAAGAAGAAGAAGAAGAAGAAAGAGAAAGAGAAGAAGAAGAAGAAGAAGAAAGAGAAAAAAAGAAGAAGAAAGGGACCGAACCCAGAAGAAGAAGGAGGAAGAAGAAGAAGAGAAGAAGAAAGAGGAGGAGGAGGGAGAAAGAAGAAGAAGAAGAAGAAAAAAAAAAAAAGGAGGUCCGAACCCAGAAGAAGAAGAAAGAGAAAGAGAAGAAGAAGAAGAAAGAGAGAGAAGAAGAAGAAAGAGAAAAAAAAAAGUGGAAGAUAUGUUUUUUUUUUUUUUAAAUUAAAAAAUUAUUUUAUUUGCCAUGUGGCAGACAUUUGGCAGCCACGUGUCAUAUAUGUGACAGCCACGUCAGCAUUUAACAGAUCCAUGGAUGGAAAAUCUAACGGUUGUAUGAAAUUGAAAUAAAAUAGUACUUGAGGUAUGAAAGUGAAAUGUUUUAAAGAUGUUGUAUGAGAUUGCAAUAGAGCUCAAACCUGAGGGGCUACUAUGUAAUUUACCCAUGUUUUAUUAAUGUAGUUUUAGAUUAGCCCACACUCCUUUUAAAAUUUUUGCCUCCGCCCUUAUAUAAACAAGUGCUACGUCAGUGCAAGGCAUCUUUUCAGUUUUUAGACUUUUGUGUCCAGUUUGUCCUUGAUAAUUCAAAAAAGAGAAAUGCUAAGAAGACUCUCAAAGUAGAAUUCUUUAUGGACUUUCCAUCACCUUAUAUUUUUGGCAUAUUGGUACCAGAAUUGUGCCAAAAACAUGAAGUGGCGGGAAUUGUGCCAAACUAAACCAAACCUUUGGUGCAUUUUAGGCGGUUCAAUUGGUUUUUUUUUUUUAAAUGCCCAACCCUGGUCUAGACCUUCUAGUUAAAAAAAGUUGACCAACAGUACAUGAAGUAUAGAAUGGCAGGCAAUGGAAAAAGGGAAAUUAUCAUAAGAGAAAUUUUAUUUGAAUCCAUAUUUUGUAUCUCAACACCCAGCUUACUUUUUAUAUCCACAUUGUAUUUGAUUUAUCUAUCAUUAUCUAUUUACCCAACAUUAUUUCCGAAACCACCCUUACUUAUCAAAACUCAACUCAAUCAAACUUCUUUUUACACCCAACUCAAUCUAAUUAAAAAUAAAAAAUAAAACGCUAACCAGUCCAUCAUCUCCAUGGAACAAAUCCCUUCUUUCUGUCUUUAAAAAAUCCUUCCAUAUCCCAUGGUUGUCAUUUUGCAACCCCAUUUACUCCUCCGUAGUCAUCCAAACCUCUUCCUCUUCCCUUUCUUCAUCAUUUGACAUCUCUAAAUUUCUAGAGCACUAAUUAGCUUAAUAAUCGGUAUGAACUUCUGGUUAGAGUGUUUAAUGAGUUUGGUAUGUUUCAAUUAAAUAAGAAUCUUCUAGACUCUAUAUUCCUAUAUGUGGUAGAAAAAUGGGUACGUCCAGGAUAACUUUUUGUAGAUCAAUGAAUAUUUUUAACCGUGGAUAUUUAUUAGAUACAAAAGUUGCGAACAACAAUUAACAUUACAUUGAAUUGUGGCUAAAAAGUAUAUCGCCUUUGCACAUUUUAUAGGCGAACUCAUAGCUAAGCAAUUUUUAUUGUGGAGCAAAAUUUCGGGAAUUGAUCUAACCUGGAUGUGUAAUUGAGUUUAUGCAUUUUAAUGAUUAAACUUAUAAAUAUUUCGACCAUAUAUGGAUUUAAUAUCGUAUAUCUUUUAGCCUCUAUAUGCCACAAAAGUUGCGGACAAAAAUUCACACUACAUAGAACUGUGGUUAAAAAGUACAUCGCAUGUGCACGUUUUAUAGGUGAACUCAUAGGUAAGUAGUUUUAUUGUUGACCAAAACUUCGGGAAUUGAUCUAACUUGAAUGUAUAAUUGAGCUUAUGCAUUUUAAUGAUUAAAUUCAUAAAUAUCUCGACCACAUAUGAAUUUAAUAGCGUAUUGUCUUUUAGCCUCUAUAUUGGUAUCUGUGGCAAAAAAAAUGGGUACCUUCAUGAGAAAAUUUUGUAGAUCGGUGAAUAUUUUCAAUCUGGAUAUUUAUUAGAUACCAGAAAUUAUAAGUCCAUUUGUGAAAGUCUAAGUCAAUGCCACGUACAAUAUUUGUUAAGACAUAUUUAGGGAACUGUUAUUAGCACUCCAAAAAUCUCAUUCUACACUCCGCACAAGUGUAUUUUUCUUUCUAAUUAUAGAAAGUUUGGAGUGCAAAAUGAGAUUUUUAGAGUGCUAAUAACAAUUUUCUAUAUUUAUAUACAUUUUAUUUUAGUUUGGAAGUCGUCUUCCUUUUUUUUCUUUCUUUAUCAAGUUGGGAGUAUUACUGACUGUGACCAUGUGCAACUAGUUGUUGAUUCGUUUUGAAUAAUCAACAUUAUUUCUUUCAAUAUCUUAGGCGUAUGAAUAACAGAAAGAAAACGGUCAUGAUACAAGCUGAAUAAGAGUAGUACUAAUUAGUAAACAACUUUUGCAUGAUGUUUGCUUAUAACCAAGUGGCAUGAAGGGACAAAUGUAUAGGUUUCAUGCACGACUUGGAAUAGUAUUAGUAAAUGCAUGAUGUUUGCUUAUAACCAAGUGGCAUGAAGGGACAAAUGUGUAUGUUUCAUGCAUGACUUGAAAUAGUAUUAGUCGUCGGGAGAUUUUGCAUCAAUUUGUUUUUGUUUUUAAUAUGUAUAUAUUAAGUUCUAUUUUAAUGGGAUUGCUCACCACCCCUAAGUUGUGAUAAUGCCUUUAUUUAUCAUUGUUAUGUGAGUUUAAUUAAAUUUUGAGAUUGUGUUUAUCCACUACAUACAUUUUGAUUUUUUUUUUUUUUGAGUUGAGCAAUAGCAUUAGUAAGUUAGAUGUUAGAUUAGUCACCGAAAAAAUUCGAACCCACGCUGUCAUGCAAGCAAGGACGAAGCUAGAGAUCUGCAUGGAUGGGGGCAUCCUCAAAUAGCAAAGUCACAAAUUAAAAGUUCAAGAAUGUACUCAACAAAAUACUUACAUAUUAAUCCAUAAGGUUUUUUAUACAACUUAUUACAAUAUCUCUCAACACGUUUCAUGUUUUCAAACGUUGAAUGACAACUUCAUUACUAAUACCAUCAAAUCUCUCUCUAUAAAAAAAAUAAUCAUGUUAUCAUUUAUCUAUUGAUCUCUCAUCCAAUUUCUCAACAGAAAUUUUACAGCUGAAUAUGCUCUUCCAACGAUGGCAAUAGUGCAUAAAAGAUUUAAUACUAAUGUCACAAGCAACUAAAAUAGUAUAUUUUUUUCAACCAAAAAUAAUUAGGUGGGGGCAUCCGCCCCCGCUGAGCCUAAGCCAGCUCCAUCCAUGCAUGCAAGAGCACAACACUUAUUCACCACUGUGGUAAAGGGCCACUUCCCAACAAGUUGAUUGCCCUGUGUGACUUUACUAAUACUAUUCCAAGUCAUGCAUGAAACAUACACAUUUGUCCCUUCAUGCCAAUUGGUUAUAAGCAAACAUCAUGCACAAAUUGUUUAUUAAUUAGUACUACUCUUAUUCAGCUUGUAUCAUGACUGUUUUCUUUCUGUUAUUCAUACGCCCAAGACAUUGUAAGAAAUAAUGUUGAUUAUUCAAAACGACUCAACAACUAGUUGUACAAGGUCACAGUCAGUGAUACUCCCAACUUGAUAAAGAAAGGAAAAAAAAAAGGAAGUUGACUUCCAAACUAAAAUAAAAUGUAUAUAAAAAUAGAAAAUUGUUAUUAGCAGUCCAAAAAUCUCAUUUGGUACUCCAAACUUUCUAUAAUUAGAAAGAAAAAUACCCUUGUGCAAAGUGUUGAAUGAGAUUUUUGGAGUGCUAAUAAUAGUUCUCUAAAUAUAUCUUAACAAAUAUUGUACGUGGCAUUGACUUAGACUUUCGUGAAUAGACUUAUAAUUUAUGGUAUCUAAUAAAUAUUCAGAUUGAAAAUAUUCAUUGAUCUACAAAAUUUUCUCAUGGAUGUACCCAUUUUUUUGCCACAGAUACCAAUAUAGAGGCUAAAAGACACUAUUAAAUUCAUAUACGGUCGAGAUAUUUAUGAAUUUAAUCAUUAAAAUGCUUAAGUUCAAUUAUACAUUCAAGUUAGAUCAAUUCCCGAAGUUUUGGUCAACAAUAAAAACUGCUUACCUAUGAGUUCACCUAUAAAACGUGCAAAGGCGAUAUACUUUUUUACCACAAUUCUAUGUAUUGUGAUUUUUUGUCCGCAACUUUUGUGGCAUAUAGAGGCUAAAAGAUACUACGAUAUGAAAUCCAUAUGUUGUUGAAAUAUUUAUCAAUUUAAUCAUUAAAAUGCAUAAACUCUAUUACACAUCCAGGUUAGAUCAAUUUCUGAAGUUUUGCUCCAUAAUAAAAACUGCUUAGCUAUGAGUUCGCCUUUAAAACAUGCAAAGGCGAUAUACUUUUUAGCCACAGUUCAAUGUAAUGUGAAUUGUUGUCAGCAACUUUUGUAUCUAAUAAAUAUCCACGAUUUCGACCAAAAAAAAAAAUUAUCCACGGUUAAAAAUAUUCAUUGAUCUACCAAAAGUUAUCAUGGACGUACCAAUUUUUCUACCACAUAUAGGAAUAUAGAGUCUAGAAGAUUCUCAUUUAAUUGAAACAUACCAAACUCAUUAAACACUCUAACCAGAAGCUCAUUUAAUUGAAAAGAAAAGGGAAUUAAUACGUAAAAAUUGAACCAAUCAAUUGAACACAUACCCAUUAUUAAGCUAAUUAGUGCCCUAGAAAUUUAGAGAUGUCAAAUGAUGAAGAAAAGGAAGAGGAAGAUGUUUGGAUGACUACGGAGUAGUAGAUGGGGGUGCAGAAUGACAACCAUGGGAGAUGGAAGGAUUUUUUAAAGAGAGAGAGAAGGGCAUUUGCUCCAUGGAGAUGAUGGACUGGUUAGGGUUUUAUUUUUUAUUUUUAAGUAGAUUUGAGUUGGGUGUAAAAAGAAGUUUGAUUGAGUUGAGUUUUGAUAAGUAAGGGCGGUUUUGGAAAUAACGUUGGGCGUAAAAAGAUAAUGAUAGAUAAAUCAAAUACAAUGUGGAUAUAAAAAGUAAGCUGGGUGUUGAGAUAUAAAAUAUGGGUUCAAAUAAAAUUUCCCUUACCAUAACUAUAACCAAAUCGAAUAACAAUCCUUAUAAGGUUCACACCGAUAUUCAUACCAUACAUUUGAAAUAAGGAAAUAAAAGAAUAUUUGUAAAAUUGCAUGAGUACAUGCGAAAAGACGGAAAUCUAUCAAAUCAAGCGUAGCAGCUCUUGAGUUGACUCCCUUGAAUGGAAUAAGUUGUCGAUGUAGUGUAUCAGAGGAGCUAAUGCAGUAACUGUCCUUUGCAUCUGAACAAAAGCCGAUGCUUCUGAUAAAAUUGAAUACCAAACAAACUGUGUUACCAAUGAAGUCCAACCCUAAAAUACCCAUGUACAUAUAGCAUUCAUAGUAAAUUCAUGUUAAUUAUAUAUGCUCAAUAUCUGGACGUAAGAUUUUUUUUUUUCUUCUUCUCUAUAUUGGAUAUGAAAAUAAAGAACCUGCAACCGGCCACGGUAGCUACCGCUACCAUGAGCAGUCAAACCGAUCAAUCCCAAAUCUCUAGCCUAAUGUCAAUAGGUAUGAGCUAGUCUGCUAGAGACCUGGUUUGGAAGCGGAUAGUAUGACAAUGAUGAGUUACAUACUUGAAUAGUCUUACCAUCUAAUUUUACCCUUUUGAAGAACAGUGACUUUGUAGGAAGGGUGUGCAGUGCACCCACAAAAGUCUUUCUGAGAGCCCAUCCGUGGUAGGGGUACAAAACUUGGUUAUAUGCUGUUUUAACCGGAUCCAUGAUUGAUUUUUCGCUGCCCAAGUAAAAAAAAAAGAGAAAAGAAAAAAAAAUCAAGUUAUAAGUAACUGUGAAUCUGUGAUAGUAAAAUAAGAGGUAGCUGCAAAAUUAUAGAGACAUACAAAAAAUAAGAGAUAGUAGUCAUUGAUUUAGGGUUUGUUCUUUUGUGAAUAAUUAAUUCAAACAUUAGUCAAUAAAUAAUUAUGUGCCUUAAGUAGAAUAAUUAAGUCAUAGUAUAAUGGAUAUCAUGAGUUUAGAACGAGAAGAGUCUAUGAGCUCGUUUGAAAGUACUUUUAAAAUGAUUAAAAAUGCGUCUGAUAAGAGUAUUUUUGAAACAAAUCCUUAGUAAAAAUGCAAGUAAAUCUUGAAAAAACACUUGAAGUGUUUCCUGCAAAAAUCACAUAAUUGAUACUUUCUAGCAAGAAGCACUUUAAGUGCUCUUGAAACCCAAAAACACUUUCAUUAAAAGUACUUGAUGAAUAUUAAACAUUAAAAAAAUUCAUGAUGAACGGAAAUAUAAAUUAAGUGGAUAUGAGAAAAUAGAACAUAUGAGUGGACGUAGCAGCAGACUUAAGAUGAAAUUGCAUUUCCAAACGAAAAUGAUUUUAGACAUGUUAAUGAAACAAUGAAUUCAGAGAAGAUCGAGGCUAGGUUUGAGACAAGUAAAACCUUGAGGCCAUAGUUUGCUCGAAUAUUAUCUUAAGCAUCUCAAGUGAACGCCUCACUCUGAUGAGGGAUCUCGAAGCACUAUUAUGGGGCUUAAAGGUAUUCUGUUGUAUUUCACGGUCAAGCGAAUCUUCUAGGGUAUUAACUGACUUUCCUGCCUUUUCAAUCACACUAACCUGGUAACCACCACAUUAGCCAAAAUUUAAUUAAACAAAACCAAAGAAACACUCACAUCAAAGGGAAGUAUAUGAACAAAAUAAAAAAGAAAAUAUAAAUAAUUAAGAUCAUCUUUGAAAUAUGUAAAAUGUCUUAAAUGUGUAUUAUAUAACUUAAAAAUAUAUUUGAAAUUCAGUGCACCGGAAUUUCAAUAUCGAAAUUACUCACCCUCACCAGAAGAUGUAAAAAAAAAAGUAGUAUAUUUUCAUUUUUACAUCUCAUGCAUCACCAUACAUAUGAAUAAUAAGAAAUAUUUAGGAAUUUACAUAAUUGAGUUUUUUAUUUAGUAUUUUUACCUUCCUUUUAUUGUUUUAACGCAAUGAAUAAAAAUUUCAUCACAUUAAUUUUUUUUUAAAUCAAUAACAAAAAAAAGUUAGAUGCAUUUCAUUUUCAUCAUGAAAUUUAUAUUCUCCUACUACAGCAAAACAUGUCUCUAGAGUUAUAAAAUGUUCAUUUACAUUUCUCAAUUUUACAUAUCCUUGCACAGGAAGUUGCUCUAAGAAACUAAAUUAGCUAUAACUUAUAAACUAUUAAAUCAACAUGUGGUCCAAUAUCCUAGUGUGUAUGGUGUUGAGUUUCUAUCCAUUUCGAGUUUGAAACUUUUGCUCUUCUAAAUAAUUGUAAUAGUUUAAAACCCUCUCCCCCCAUUAAUAAUAAUAAUUUUUUUUUAUAAAAAAUCCAUUUAAUCUAAAGGAAAUACGAGCAAAUCAAUUAUAAAGUUGAGGAACACUGAAUAAACAAUAAGGACGUAUAUAAAAUAAAAUUUGGUCCCUUUUUAUUGUCUGUAUAGUAUCCUCAAGUUUUAUUAUGUAUUUAAAAAUGAGUAACUGAUUUAAUCAUGUGUAUAUUUCCCAUGAGUCAAAUGCACCAAAGAAAUCAAAGCACUCAUCAAUCACAAUCCACCAAACCCUAAAGAACACCCAAGUUUUAUAUCAAACUUUUGAAAUUUGAUGCAAAUGUAGAAGGCAAUGACAAGGUUGCAACCCAAAUCUCCCCUUCACCAAAAAGCAUCAAACUCUCAAGUUUAAGAGAUGAAUAAUACCUUAGCAGAGUACUCUAUGUCGGCGAACUUCGAAGCGACGCCUAGGUGUCGAAUGAGAGGAGAAACGAGACGACAGGCUUGGGUGAACUUGCCAAUUUCCAUGGUGAUCGGUGCCGGAGAGUUCAGCUGAGCGGCCAGUUGUUCGAACUCAUCUGCCAGCCUUGUCAUAAUUCUCUCAUCUUUCCUUACCACUACCCUUUCCAUUCUAUAACUUCUUUUCACCAAGUCUCUGCUCCUCUCUCAGACUCUUUCAUUUUAUAGGGAAAUUUGAAAACUAUUUAAAAUUUGGAUCCCAAAUAAAAUUAAGGUCACCACUUUAAAACUUUAAAUUUACUAAUUUAGGACAAUACUUAGACACUGACUAUUCAGUACGACAAGUAUACUGACUCUCAAAUGGCCCACUAACAAACAUACACGUAUAUGUUUGUAAAAUUCAAUAUAUAUUAAAAUUGAAAACAACUGAAAUACUGUUCAUAAUCACAGUGUAGUUCCGACUUUACCCUUGCUUAUUUUGUAUUAUUACAAGGCUGCCAUUCAACCUGCUGGGUUCUUAGCUGUAGUUCAUUUUCUUCGAUAGCAUAGCGAGAAAAUUCAGUUUCCUCAUCCAUCUCUUCGUUCCUGCUCUGACUAGCUGCACACUCCAUCAAACCCAAAGAGGGAAAAAUGUGUGCAUGUGCAAAUAUAUCUGCAGUAAAUGCAGAUGCAGGUGCAAAUGCAUAUAAACAAAUGACAAAGAACUGUUGGAAAUAUAUCCAUACACCAUGAAAAAAAAACUGUCAAGUUGUGGAUAACUUCUAUUACUUUUUGGAUGAUUAACUGUGUUAAGCUUAUGAAUUCAUCUUUAUGAAAUGCAUUUACUCACGUCUUUAUCAGAUUGGGUUACUUUUUUUUUUUUUUUUGUAGAAUUCUUCGUUCAAAUUUUCAGGGUUUAGGAAAAAAAUUCUGAAGUUAUGGGUUCUUUUAAUUUGAUUUCAUUUUAUUUGAAUUAUUCAUUCAAUUUUUGAGAUGUUAUAUCAAAUCUCCAAAUUAACUCAUAGUCAUUAGGCCUUACAAAUUUACGAAGUAGGAGAUUACCCAGAUGAAAUUUGUGAUUAAAUUUUGUUCAAUUUUUUUUUAGUAUUUAACUCUUAGUCAUUAAUCACAAAUUUCUAUGAUUUAUUAGUAUUUAACUCUUCUCCUAAUUCUUUCCUUUGACCCUUUUAAUCUUCUUCUUUUUUUUUCGAUUUUGAUAAUUACCCAGAUGAAAUUUGUGAUUAAAUUUUGUUGGAUUUUUUUAUAUUUAAUUUAGUCUUUAAUUUUUGUAAAAUAUGCAAGAGAGUUCAAAGUCAAGAUGCGGUUAUGCCUCUCAAUCUGAUUGUUUAUAGAUUUUGUACGAUUUUUAAUAAGGCUAUCUAUCAAAUCUUUUGUAUGCAAAUAGUAUGUACACAUCAAGUAUUAUCAUUUGUAUGUAAAUAGUACUAUAUACAAACUUUCCGUACGGCUUUCAAUCCCGCAGAAUGGCACGGGGCGUUCCUUUCUAGUAUCUACUAUUCUUGCAACCAAACAGCUAUCAUCUCUCUGACUUGAACCAUGGAGAAACAGAGACCCAUUUUUAUAGACCAUUUUAAUGGCCUUCCUCCCAGAAGGCAAGUUUCGAACCUUCUUGUUUGUUGCCCUUAUGCACCAUCCUCCUCUUACCAACCCCAGGGGACUUAGAUCUCUUUACUACUGAUAAAUUUUUCAUUCACAAUCAAUAACACAUAAUUCCAGAUCCGUGGGGAUGGGUCUUCUUUUUCUCCAUGUUUGUGGGUUGUGAAUGGGAUUAACAGAGGUCCGAAGGAGACUCGAACAAGGGAUUACGGUCGAGACAACGAAGGAGGGGGUGGGAAUGGGAUCGACGGGAAGGAGAUGCAGCUGGGAUGGAUAAAGGAGAGGUUGAGGGAGGAUGUGUGGGGAUGAGAUUGACGGAAAGCGGUUGGGGUGCCGGGUCUGGGAAAGAAGGAAGAUGAUGGGUGUUUGGAUGUUGGUUCAAGAUAAAGUUUGGGUGUUUGGUUAACAAGAUAACCAGUGUUUGGGAAGAGUUUUAAAUGACAAGUGUUUUAAUAUUACUGGGCCAUGUCAUUAGGUUAGUAUUUUGGGUACUGAACAGCCUGUAUCCAAGUAUUGUCCUUAAAUUUAUGAUAAUUAUAAUCAAAAUUUGAUAUGCAAUUACUAAUAUACCCUUAAUGACUAAAUUCUACUCUUUUUCUAAAGGGAGUUUUAACGAAAAGCCCACGGUACUAUUCACUUUAACGAAAAACCACAUUUAUACACUAAAAUGUCAAACUUGGUACUAUUCAUUUUACCCUUUAUUUUGUCUUUAUCGUUAAAACUCAAAGUUUUCAAGCCAUUUUCAUUAGUUUUCCUUUUUCUAAACCCAUCGAGAUUCUUGUUGUCUAGGUGUGUCGGAGUGUCGGACACGCCCCCAAUAUAGGUUGGACACAGUUAACGAUUUGGACACGGUCAAGACACCUUUGUACAUGCCACGGACACGGUCAACGGAAUUUUGUUAGGCUAUUUCAGGCUAGGAGGCAAAUUCAUAUCCGCUAGGCUCUUUCAAAAGUCAUAGAUCUUCACACAGGGAGGUAGAUUCAGAUCCGCUAGUCUUUUUCAGGCUAGCCGUCAGGAAAAAGUAAGUCAUCUUCUAAUCGGAUAUGCAUUUUUCAGAUAGGGAGUUUAAUCAGAAAUGGGAUAGUAGAGGAAAGAGAGAAAUUUGCUUUUGGUUCUUUGGAGAAGAAGACGGGGAAGAGAGAGCCAUUAUCCUAUUUGCUUUUGGUUCUUUGGAGAAAUUUGCUUUUGGUUUGCAUAUUUGAUUUAAAAAUUUGGUCUCUUUAGCAUUAUUCUUUUUAAUUUCCAACUUUUAAUUUUUUAUUAGUUUUAUUAGUGGGACCCAUGCAAAACAAUUACUCUAGGAUGAAGAUCCUUCCUAGAUCCUCUUUACGGGGAUCUUAGGAAUCCUCACAUCCUAACUGUUCCUCGUAUAUUGUGCACCUAAUUUUCAUUAGGUACUAUUUGUAUUUAAUUUUAAAUGAUAAAAUUUAAAUAAUUUUUUUACUGCACGAUAUAUUAUAAAUGACAAAGAUGUGAGGAUCUGUAGGAUCCCCACAAUUUGAAUCUGGAUGGGAUCCAAAUCCAUUACUCUAAGGUCAAAACAACUAUACAACUUUAUCAAAACAGCUAUACAUUUUGCUAGGAUGUAGCAAAACUUUUUUUUCAUUUCUUUGUUCCCCUCAUUUUAGGGGUAUGUUUAUUUUCAAACCCUGAAUUAUAACAAUUUAAUUGAUUAUGUUUGUGUUAUAAUUAUUAUAUAUGGUGAAUGAAAUUGAUGAACAUAAGUACUUUGUUAUAUUAUGAUUUUAAAAUAUUGUUUUUAAUAUAUGUAAUAUGUUGUGGCCUAUAUUUAACUGACAGGGAGAGAGGGUUGACGGCACAGAGAAAAUAUAGAGAGAGAUGUGUUUGUAAGGUUGUGUAGAGAAUAUGUUAUUCCCCCUACGCAGUGCCUUUUUUUAUAGUAAUAAGAGAGAGAAGAAAAGAAAUCAUUCUCCUCCAAGGAAUACAAGUCAUAAUAGGAAAGAAUAACUAGAAUCAAAUCUAAUCUAAUAUUUACAAAAUCACACUUAAAUAAGAAGUUUAUAACACUCCCCCUUGAGUGUGUAAAUACUUAAGUAGAUUCGGCAUCAUGUAGAGUUGAGGAAGUCGACUCGUCGGCACUGAUUCUGGGAACACGCUAUUCUCAAAUAAGGUAGGAACUUGCAUAAGGAAGUAAGUCUUACACAAAAAAACCCUAAGGCUAUGGUAAAAACCCGAGUAGGGACAAAAUCCACAAUCCAAGGAAAAAUGCGUGAGUAAUGCAAAGUCAAAUGAAUGGAUUUGCAUGACUUCAAUCUUAUGAUGCUCUUAUUGUUGAUGUGAGAAGAAAAACUUUGGCACAAUGUGCUUGGUGUUGUCUCCUUUGAUGUAACCCUUCUUGAGCUGUUCGAUACAUGCUACGUUGUCUUCAUAGAUCGUCGCUGGGACGUCUAUGACGAGGUAAAGAUCGUAAGAGCUUCAAAUAUGGCCCACAAUUGCUCUCAGCCAAAAGAAUUCCCAAGUUGCUUCAUGUAAGGCAAGAAUUUCAGCAUGGUUAGACAAAGUGGCUGCUAAGGUAUGUUUAGUUGACCUCCAAGAGAUUGCGGUGCGUCCAACAGUAAUGACAUAACCCUUUUGAGAACUUGUGCGGAUCAGAUAAGUAUCAUACGUCGACAUAACCAACAAGGUGAGAAUUGACUCGAGAUAAUGGGGUGCGGCAUCACUCGAGGAUCCGUAGGGAUAUAGCAAACCCAAAUCCGUAGUACUCUUAAGGUAACGAAAGAUGUCUUUAACACCAGUCCAAUGUCUGCAUGUUGGUGAAUUAUUGUAUCUUGCCAAAAGAUUAACAACGAAAGAGAUGUCGAGUCUAGUGCAUUGAGCUAAGUACAAUAAAGCGCCUAUCGCACUUAGAUAAGGAACUUCAUCCUCAUUUGGAAAGGAAGGAUCUCGUUUUGCAUCUAGCGAUUGAACAACCAUAGGAGUACUCGAAGGCUUCGCUAUUUCUUUGUUAAAGUGGCGCAACACCUUCUGGGUGCAAAGACUGGUAAAUUUAUUGAAAAUAGUUGAUGUUUCACUAUACAACCAAUUGACAAUACGAGGAGUAACCUACAUUACUACGGGAACUUUAACGAAAAGCACCCGGUACUGUUCACUUUAACGAAAAACCACAUUUUUACACUAAAAAGUCAAUCCUGAUACUAUUCACUUUAUCCUUUAUUUUGUCCUUAUCAUUAAAACUCAAAGUUUUCAAGCCAUUUUCAUUAGUUUUCCUAAUUACUUAAUGUGAGAUUCAGUCUUAACAUUUACAAUUUUCACAUACAUCUUCCAUAUUCUUAGUUGUAUUAUUACUUGCACUAAUUCGAAAGUGGGGACCUGCGAAGUAUCGGGUUGCCCUCAAUAGCAGUGCAUUGAGGCGAAGUCUCGGGUUGCCCUCAACGGUAGUGCAUUGAGGUCUUGGACGAAGACUCCGAUAGUGACGCUAGGAUUCUGUCGGAUAGAUGAUUGCCUGAGACGUCUAAAUCGUCUCUCCAAGUUGGUGAGGCUGGAAUCUGGUCAGGAAUAAUGCCAAAGAAGUUAGUCGUCGCUAAGAUCCAUUACAUAUACUAGAGAAAUAAGUGUAGAAAAUGUAGAUAGACUUCAAAGCAUCAGUUUCACAAGAGGCCCAUACAAGGUUUUUGGAUUAUUCCUUUCCGACUUUGAUGACUUUAGAAACAGGGCAUGAAAGUUAUAGAUGGUUCAUCAGCUUACUACUAAUCAAACAAAAUACUGGUCACAUGUGCAAACCAAUAGUUGGGCCAACCCGUGACUUCAGCGUUUUAAAUUCAUUGUUCCAAUUUGGGUAAAGACAAUAUAGUGCCCCAAUCGAGGUUUUUAACUUUUUGAUGCGGAGCAUGCUUCAAUUGAGGUUUUAGAGAUGGUUUAUUAGCUCACUACUAGUUGAACAUUGACAUUGACCACAUGUACAAACCAAUAUAUAGUUGGGUUAACUUGAAACUUUAGUUUUUUAACAAAUUUAUUGUCCCAAUUAAGGAAGAGACAAUCUAGUGACCCACUACUAAUGAACCAAGGUUUUCUAGGUUUUUGAUGUGAGACAUGGUUGGUUGAGGUUGAAAAUAAAAAUGUAAAUAGUUGCAAAAAUCAAAUAUAACAAUUAAAACUCCCAUACUAUUGAAUAAUGCGUAGCAUAAAAGCCACACCGGUGAGACAUGCUUCAACUAGGGUUUUCAAAUCUUAUGCUAAGAGAUAGUGAGCCUUGUCUUUCAAUUUAUAUUAAUUCACAUGUCCCUUCGUAUCGUUGUAGUUCUCACUAAAAAAGUAGGUUUAAAAAGGUAGGUGGGUUUUAGAUAUUUGUCCACAAUAUUUGAAAUUUGAAAUCUUUGCUUUCAUGUACACAAUAUAUAGACUGAAAUAUCAGUAGUAGUGAGUGAAAAUAGUUCACGUUUGAAGGUUUACAUACUUUUUUUUUUUUGGUAAAAAAGAAGGUUUUACAUACUUUGACAAUGAGUCCCACAAUACUUGUAAUCACUAGACAGGUUUUUAGAUGCAAUCAAGUUAAGGAAAUUCGUGAAUAACGAAAAUAGGAGCCACUAAAUGAUAAUUUCGUUUUCAGUUUCAAUUUUCACUUUUAUUAAAAAAUGAAACUUAAUAUAUAUUUGGUAACUAUUUUUAGUUUUCCAAAAAUAAAAAUUGAUAGUUUUUUUGAGUUUUCAAAAUGGGAGGUGAAUUGUCACUUAGUACUACGGUUUAGUGAUAUUUCUCUUCAGUUGUAAGUGAGACAUUUUAGGUUCUAUUCUUACCAAAGAAGAAUUUGAAUCACAUUAUUGCUACUACUAGACCAUAUUACUAAGUGACUAUUUCUAGAUAUUAAAUUGAAUAAACCAAAUAGAAUCCACGACUAUAAUUAAGUAGGAGUGUGUAAAUAGCUAAAUUUGUGUGCGAUUGUCAAUUUCCUUCAAAAAUUAGUUUUUUUUUACUUGCCUUUUUUAUUUAACAUUUUUGAAAAUUGAAAUGAUUAUAAAACAAGUAGGAAAAAAGUUUUCCAAAUUAAGAAGAGAACCUAGAAAAUUUAACUAUCAGAUGACAACAACCAUUUCAACUGGAGUCGAUUCAGAUUAAAAUUAAUUGUAAAAUCAUAUCAACAAUUAUUUCAUUCAGCAUUCGUAAUUGUGCACUUUUGAUUUUUCAAUGAAUUUAUUUACCUAAACAAAAAGCAAUUAAUGUUAAAUGCAGUAGUACUAGUACUUAGAUGGCAUACCAUGUUGAUUUUUUUCACAAUUAUAUGCAAGUCUUUUUCUUGACUUAAAAAGAUUUUGCAGAUGGACACAUGGCCACUUAUCUAAGUUGAUAGCAAUUACUGUUAAAUGCGGUAGUACUAGUACUUAGAUGGCAUACCAUGUUGAUUUUUUUCACAAUUAUAUGUAAGUCUUUUUUUUUUUUUUUUUGGUAAACUGGAAUUUAUAGCCAGGGCAAAGAUGCCAAAGCAUACACCGAAAGCCCACAAUGAGGCAAACAACCAAAAAACAAAGCCGGAAGUGCAAGGGGAAGAAAACUCGACACUACCAGGAAGCAGGAGUGUCACCCCUUGCACAACCGAAUAAAACUAAUGUGGGCAAGGUAGUCCAUCUUUAUUAAGUACAUCAACAAGUGAAGAUGGGGGUCGGUCAACCCAAAUAAAAUCACACAUCUCCACACACCUGUGCGACGCCAACCUAUCGGCCGCCAUAUUGGCUGAUCUUGGAGUCCAAGACCAGCAACAGUCAUGGAAAGAAUUACCAACUUGCCUGCACUUGGAUAAGAUUGGAAACGCCUCCCACUGUCAUUUGUGAUGCUACCCUAUAAACACGAAAUAGACUGCAAGGAAUCAGAUUCAAUAACCACACGAGUGAGACUCAAAGAGUGACCCAACUCACAACCACGAAGAAUGGCUAGAGCCUCAGCCGCCUGAACACAAGGGCCCUAAAAAAUGUAAGUCUUUUUCUUGACUUUAAAAGCAAAGCCACAAUAAUUUUGCAGAUGGACACAUGGCCACUUAUCUAAGUUGAUUCUCAGUGGUUUAAUUAAGUCAUGAGCAAGGGAAACCAAUGGAGCAUUUUGUUUUCUUUUUAGUUGGGUAAGAUGCUUUAUUCAAACGGCAUGGAAAUGCAUAUGCAAAUUUCCACGCAAACAAUGCACUAAUCAGAUUACUAUGCCGAGAAAUGUUAAAGAGACUUUCUCAACAAUGAGACUUUCCAUAGACUUUCUGUUAUUUAUUUAUUUUUAUUUUUUUGCAUAGUGUUUUAUAAUGUUGUUACUAUAAUUGACGUUAAACUAUGAAGUGACAGAGAAUACAUGAAAAAUCCCACUUUCAGAAAAUCCGCUUAGCAUUUCUCUAGUAUUCCUAUAUGUAGGAAACUUUAAUCCAUUGAGACAAUAAAUAAUUAGGAAUCAAGAGGGAAAAUAUGAAAAAGAAAAAGAAAUAGGAGAUGAAUAGCCCCAAUUAACUUGAAAUAUCAAUCCUUGUAUACAUACAGACGAUGGGAGCCUCGGAAUUUUUUGCUUCUAAGGCCACUGCGAAUCCAUCAACGUUGCAAUGAUUUAGGAGAUUAAAUUUUUACCCGCAAUCCUAUGGUUUAGGAUUAUUUUAUUCUUUAAAUGUUUCAGAAAAGAAAAAGAAAAAUAAUCUUGAAAUCAAGAGAUUAAAUACUUGUGUGAUAAAUUUGGUAUAGAAAUAAAGAUGUGGGACUCAUCGGACCUAUUUCAAUCGUAACAAAUAAAGUGGAUUAUUUAUAAAAUUGGCUCACAAAAUUGUAGUUAUAUUCCAAGUUUUAAAAGGCGUUAAGCGCUAGUCAGGCAGUGAGCAAAGAUAUAACGUUUAAGAGUUUAGGCGGGGCAGCCUAGACGUUUUUUUAAUUAAAUUUAUUAUAUAAUAUAUAAAUAAAUAUCUAUUUAUAUUAAAAAAAUACAUAAUUGUAUUUGAUACAUAAAUUGUAAAACAGAAUGACAUAAAGAUUAUAAAGUAUUAUAACACAUUGAAAACAUGUGAAACAAACAUAUAAUGAGUGUUGAUCUAAAUAUUCAACAAGUCUUUUAUAAUUUAUUAUAAAAAUAAAAUGCAAAAUGAAAGUUAUCUAUUUUCUGUCAAAAUAAGAGUCGCGACUUAAGAAAGUUUAGACAGAGUCUAAACAGAUCUAAACUCUCUUUCUUAAUUUUACAUGCCUAUAUAUUAAUCAAAUGGUGACCAAUUAACGCCUACACAUGAACUGUGUAGCGCUAGUCGAAAUUUUUUAGAACAAUGGUUAUAUAUCAAUUUUACUCAAAUUUUAUUUAGAUAGACAAAAAAUCCCGACAGAAGAAAAUGUAAAUCCUAUCGCAUUUCUCCUCUAAAGCCUCCUCCUCACUCUCCUCCCUUCCCCUCCCACGCCUCUCUCUCUCUACCGCCCUCAAGGGCCUCAACUUCCGCCGUCGCCCUUCCAAAUUCCCAUUUUACCCCUCCAACCACUUUGGAAUUCCCAGGCUGCCCCUCCUCGCAUGCAACCUCAGCUCCGGCCGCAGCCAACAGCAAGCUCCCAUGGACUCACCCCCGCCGGAGGCCAGCGCCGCGUCGGUCGACUCCGUGACGCACGAUUUGCAGAAUCAGAGCUUGGCCGGCGAUGAGAAGAUGGUGUAAGUAACACUCAGAGGGUUAGGUUGAAGCUCGAAGAUCUAAAUUGGGACAACUUGUUUACCGGAGAGCUACCUGGCGAUCCCCGGACUGAUACCAUUCCACGAGAGAUUAGCUUUGAUUUUUUAUGUGUAUUAGGAAUUGGGUUAUUUUCUGUUUGGUUGCUGAGAAAGUGGAGGAAAAAGGAAAGUUUAUCGUACAUGUGGGGUGUGUCACGUGUUUGCUACUAGCUCAAGGCUUCCACUUGCGUUUUUGAAUUGUGCCAACUCGGAAAAGUUGUUAAAUUUAACCAUAAAUUCUUUGAACAUUGUAGUUACUCAAUCGAGAAAUCGCCAAGUGACUUACGAUUUGUGUGUUGUGAAUUGGGUUCUGUUUGGUUGCUGAGAAAGUGGAGGAAAACCAAACAAGAAAAUGAAACAUAUGUGGGGUGUGUGUUUGUGUACCAGUUAAAGGCUUUCACUUUUGCGCUGUUGUUUCGGGCCCAAAUCAGAAAAGUUGUUAAAUAUAUUCAUAACUGCUUAGAAAUUUAUACUUACUAAUCAAGAAAUUGCUGAGUGGCUUACAGUCCGAGUGUUGUUAGUUGGGUUAGCUUAAAUUGGCUAUGGAACUGUGCCAUUGAUAGGUUUGAUUGUGAUUUGAUUUCUUGCUUUGAGCUCCAGUUGAUUUUUACUAGCUGAGGGGGUGUUAUGUUGUAAUUAGAAUCGUGAAAGACGGAUAGAUCCUUCUUAUCGAGCUCGCUUGAUUUGGCAAUGGAAUUGUGUCAUUGAUAGGGUUGAUUGUGAUAGAUCUCUUGCUUUGAUGGAAUUGUGCCAAAGAUGGAUAGAUCCUCCUAAAGAGUGAGUAUUCGUGUUUCUUGUGCUCCAGGGAACAUCAAGUGUUAAUGCUUUUUGUGAACAUGGAUGAGAAAAUAAACUUCAUCUUAAGAGUGAGUUUAGUAGAAUCAGAAAGAACAAAAAAAAAAAUGUGUUUGACAGCAUAUAUUAUGGGUAAUGAUUUUGAUGGUCCUUCAUGUCGAAUGUGGAUCUGUUUUUACCUCUGCACAAGAACCUUGUGGUUGGCACUUUAGGAAAUUAGAUCAGUUUGUAAAUAACAUGACACUAUUAUAACUCGUAUGUGGAAAUAUGCUAAAUUAGUCCCCCAGAUAUUUGUACAUAUGGAGUCACCAAAUUUCCACAUGUUUUCUCAAGAUUUCUGUUAUUGAUUGAAAUUUCCUUUUCUUCGAGUUCUGAUAUUUUGCUGAGGCUAUUGCUUGCUAUCUACAUGUGUUUUUCAUCUUGUAUCUCGGAUGAUUGCUUUGGUUUACUUACUGUACCUUGAACCAUUGACUGAUAUACCAUACUUCACUUUGAUGAAUGAUGCAUGAGUACGUAUGUCUUGCAUGUGUGGUAUGCCAUGUUUCAUGGGACUAAUUUGCCACCUUGUUUGGAGUUACAGAUUUGAAAGGCCAGAUUUUCUGCUUAUAUUCUCUGGGCGUCUCAUUCAGUGGGAUCGUAAGUGCUUCUAUGAAUAUUAUGUUAUGAGACUCGAAUUUGGGCUUCUUGUAUUUUUUCAUGCAGCCUGGAUGGAUGCUUUAUUUUAUGCAGGUUCCCUUAUGCUCAAUGCUAUGGUGGACAUCAAUUCGGCAUGUGGGCUGGUCAGUUGGGAGAUGGGUGGGCUAUUACUCUUGGGGAGGUUCUUAAUUCUAAGUCAGAAAGGUGGGAACUUCAGCUUAAAGGUGCUGGAAAGACUCCUUACAGUCGGUUUGCAGAUGGCCUUGCUGUGCUUCGUAGUAGCAUCCAGGAAUUCCUCUGGAGUGAAGCAAUGCAUAAUCUGGGAAUUCCAACAACUCGAGCUCUCUGUCUUGUGACCACAGGAAAAUUUGUCACGCGCGACAUGUUCUAUGAGUGUGUUAAUUAGAUUUCUAUGCAAUGAGUAUUUUUAUACCUAAUCAUGUUUUACUGUGAGAACCAUACACGAUUUUGUUCCCUAUUGAGAUAAUUUCUCUUUGUUCUUUGAUAUUAUUAGCCUACUUGCUUUGAUCUUUCCCUAUUGAGAUAAUUUCUCUUUGUUCUUUGAUAUUAUUAGCCUACUUGCUUUGAUCUUUCCCUAUUGAGAUAAUUUCUCUUUGUUCUUUGAUAUUAUUAGCCUACUUGCUUUGAUCUUAUGCUAAAAUAUCAAUAUCUUGCUCGAAAAGGAAUAAAUUUUAGGAAUAUAUGUUCCUCAUGUUCUCUUGUUAAAAGAAUUUCUCUUUGUUCUUUGAUAUUAUUAGCCUACUUGCUUUGAUCUUAUGCUAAAAUAUCAAUAUCUUGCUCAAAAAGGAAUAAAUUUUAGGAAUACAUGUUCCUCAUGUUCUCUUGUUAAAAGAAAUUCCUCAUGUCCUUAUUUGCACUGGCAGUCCAAAAGAGGAGCCUGGUGCAAUUGUUUGCAGGGUUUCUCCAUCCUUUGUCCGUUUUGGGUCAUACCAAAUACACGCCUCUAGAGAAAAAGAGGACCUUGACAACUAUAUUUGGCCCAAUGUUUUCCGCUUAUCUGCCACAUUUUGAAGCUCGUGUCUACGAGUUCGAGACUACUGAAAAAUGUGAAGAAAGAUGGAAGCAUGCAUUAUUGCAACAUAGUGCAUUGGAGAAUCACGAAUGGCUGCACCUAAGAUACAACUCCGAAAGCAAUAAGGUUCCGCAUUUUGCAUGCAUAUAUUUCUGCAGGAGUAGUUACAGAGUUGAAAGUGGGGAUACUUUCUUCAAGAAAUAUGUUUCAAAACGCAACUCUUUAUGGGAUUUUGUAACAUGAUUUGAAGCCAUUAUUUCCAGUUGAAAAGCAUAUGCAUGGUUUAUACACAGAAACAAUAUUUUUAAAGUUCCAGGAUGAAAUGAUUUAAUAUACUGCUUAUUUAAAGUGUGAUGUUAUAAGGGAGGACGAAAAGGAAUGUGUUUAUGUUAUACGUGCUGAUGCAAAAAAUUCAAAAUUGUGACAUAUUGUUCACGAUAAAGUAUAUAUAUCAAAAUCAAAUGUUUAAUUGAAUUUAAUCAUUCGAAUUGUCCUUAUUAUCGAAAGUUUCUAGCUCCGUCCAUUAAUGAAAGGGUAUGCAGAAAAAUUCAAGAAACAUUACUCUCCCAACAACCAAACAAAAAAGAAAGAAAAAAGAAUAAAUUAAAUGUAUCUUAGGUGCAAAAGAAAAUAUUUUCUACUUGAGUAGAAACAAAAAUGGAUGUAUUUUUAAAAGAUAUAUAGGAAAAUAUGUGAGGAAUAUUAUUCUUCUUGUGGACCUGGAAAAAUCUCCUCUCUUGCUUCUUUGUUCAUCAGCUUCUUCUUCUAGGAAAAUUAAUUACCUCUGCUCCCAAAACCUUUUGGUCAAUUCAAAAUAAAGGAGAAGUAUAAGUCAGCAAUUUGCUUUGGUUUUUGCACUCCAAACAUAUUUAGAACUGUUUCUGUAAUGUUCAGCUUUAAAAGAAGGAUAUAGAGAAAAGAAUGAAAAGGAAAAGACUGAUGAAAUUUAUGCACGAGAGAGAUGUACCUUUUCCCAAGAAACUUCCAGAAAGUUUUUCUGGAAACGUCAAAAGAACUAUCUACAACACAAGAUCAAAAGAAAGAAUUAAACACUCAAAAUACAGAAAUCUUCAAACUUGAAAAGAAAAGAUAGAAAGCUUUGGUUGCCUCCCAAGAAGUGUUUUAAUUAAUAUGUAGAGCUAAACAUCCUGUUGGCAAUUCAUCUCAACUAACAUCCAUCAAAGUGAUGGAAUCUGUAGCAAGAUCAUAAGGGGACUCAUUGAACAACUUUAAGCGGUGUCCCUGAACUUUGAAAACAAAACCGGUGUGCAUAUUUUGAAUAUCCACAGCUCCCUAAGGAUGGACCAGUACGACAAGUUAUGGGCCUUUCCAACGUGAUUUGAGCUUUCUUGGGAACAGCUUCACCCUUGAGUUAAAGCGCAAAACUUUCUAUUCGGGAUGAAAUUCUUUUCGACAGAUGUGAGCAUCAUGAAACUUCUUGGCUUUAUCCUUAUAAAUUUCUACAUUCUCCUAUGCAUCAUUCCUUAUUUCUUCGUUUUCAUUUGGAUGUAGCUUCUGCUUCUCUCUUAGAUAAGCAUACCCAAGGUGGAUUGGCAAAGGCUUGAGCUCUAACUUGGGAGUUCGCUCGCUUGAAGGAAGAAGAGGUUGCUUAGGCCCUCCAAGGCUUUCAUACACAUGUCACCACUUUGAAUUCUGAACUGGUGUACUAUCUACUACAACAAUGAGGUUCACCGCAUUUUCUUUCGUAUGUGAAUUAGCAUCUUUGGUUAAUGAGGCAAUUUAAUGGUUCAUCAUUGGAUGAUCGUGAGGCAAAGUUUGCAUGCACAAUCCCAUCCAAGAUAUCAAUAUGAAAACACUUCUCUGAUUUGAGAGGACACUUGACAGCUUCAAAGAGUUUGAGCACAACUGAAUUUCCUUGCACUCUUAAGGUCAAUGUACUUGCUUCCACAUCAAUAAGUGUUCGGGCAGUGGCCAUGGAUGGUCGGCCCAAUAUGAGUGGCACUCCCUUGUCUUUCUUCCAUGUCAAGUACAAUGAAAAAAGCUGGAAGAUGGAAUCGAUCCACCUUAAUAAUUACAUCUUCCAAAAUACCCAAGGGAUAUUUCAUAGACCUGUCCGCUAAUUGAAGACUCACAUAUGUUGGCUUGAGUUCUCAUUUACCUAAUUUCUUAAACACAUAAUAAGGCAUAAGGUUAACACUAUCACCUAAGUCUAUCAACACUUGGAUCUUUCUUCUUGGGUGGUAGCUUAUGUAGUAGGACAUCACUGCAUUGCUCCGUUAGAACUACCUUCUCAUAUAUUCCAAUAACUUUUUCUUAUUGGAACACAGCUCCUUCAGAAAUUUGGCAUAUGAUGGGAUCAUUUUGAUAGCAUCCAAUAAAGGCGAGUUGAUUUGAACCUUAGCCAAAGUUUUCAUGAAAUCAGUGGCUUGUUGAUCCUUGGAAUGUUGUUGUUGCCUUUGUGGAAAUGGCAAAGGUGGAACGUAUGGUGGCAUAUCAUAAGGUGCAAACAAAGUGUCAAGAUCCUUUUUCCUUAUUUGCAUGAGAUUUAGGUCAAGAAAGCACUUCAGAUUGCACUACAUCACUUGUUGUAGGAUCAGCUACGAAAACAGCUCCUGGUUGAGAGUUUGCAAUUUACUGGCGCUUCUUCAAUGGCUCUUCUUGGUCCAAUUCAUCCUCAUGGUGAACAACUUCUUUAUUGUCAACUUUUGCCACUUCUCAGAGUCCUUAUCACCUUGCAGUGUUCCAUCCCUCUUGGAUUUUGCUAAGGUUGACUUGGAAACCUUCAAUUCUCUCUUUUGUUGAACUUUGUAACAAGUUGUCCAACUUGAGUCUCCAGAUUUUAUUUAAAAGGGGACCAAAUUUUAUUUUAUGUACGUCCUUAUUGUUUAUUCAGUGUUCCUCAACUUUAUAAUUGAUUUGCUCAUAUUUCCUUUUGAUUUAAUGGAUUUUUUUAUAAAAAAAUUUAUUAUUAUUAAUGGGAGAGGGAGGGUUUUAAACUAUUAUAAUAAGUUAAGAGAGAGGGAUUCAAACUUGAAAUGAGUGGAAAUCCAACACCAUAUACACUAUGAUAUUGAACAUGAUGAUUUAAUGGUUUACAAGUUAUAGCUAAUUUAGUUUCUUAGAGCAACUUCCAGUGCAAGGACAAGGAUGUAAAAUUGAGAAUGUAAAUGAACAUUUUAUAACUCUAGAGACAUGUUUUGCUCUAGUAGGAGAAUAUAAAUUUCAUGAUGAAAAUGAAAUGCAUCUAACUUUUUCUGUUAUUGAUUUUUUUUUAAAUAUUGAAUGUGAUGAAAUUUUUAUUCAUUGCGUUAAAAUAAUAAAAGGAAGGAAAAAAUACUAAAUAAAAAACUCAAUUAUAUAAAUUCCCAAAUAUUUCUUAUUAUUCUUAUGUAUGGUGAUGCAUGAGAUGUAAAAAUGAAAAUAUACUACUUUUUUUACUUCUUCUGGUGAGGGUGAGUAAUUUCGAUAUUGAAAUUCCGGUGCAUUGAAUUUCAAAUAUAUUUUUAAGUUAUAUAAUACACACAUUUUCAGACAUUUUACAUAUUUCAAAGAUGAUCUUAAUUAUUUAUAUUUUCCUUUUGAUUUUGUUCAUAUAUACUUCCCUUUGAAUGUGAGCUUUGGUUUAUUUGUAUUUUUAUUUUUUUUAAAUUAAAUUUUGAUUAAUGUGGUUGCCAGGUUAGUGGGAUUGAAAAGGCAGGAAAGUCGGUAAAAUGCCCUAGAAGAUUUGCUUGACUGUGAAAUACAACAUAAUACUAUUAGGGUGUGUUUGUUGCACCGGAUUAUCUCGGAUUGGAUUAGUUUUAGGGACUAAGCUGGACUGGCUUAGACUAGACUAAGUUGGAUUAACUUAGUGAAGCGUUUGGUGCAGUGUCAGACUAAAAAAUAGGAUAAUUAAUAAACUUUAAUAUUAUAUUAUUUAACCAAUAUCUAUUAAUAUUUUAAUAUUAAUAUAUUUAUUUAUUCUUUUAUAAUUUCUUCCUCUCUCUUAACCUCUCUUUUUCUCCGCCCAUGGUCUUCCUGCCCUUUCUCAUUUUUACUCUCUUUUUUCUUCGUCCAUUGUCACCCUCCCUACUCUUUCUUUUUCGCCAUUUUCACUCAAAUUACUUUGCUCUGUUCUUCUCUUCUUCAAAAUAUGAAACUUUGAAAUUGUUUUGAUAUUUAAAUUUCAGUUCUUUGAGAUUACAAUUUCAGUUCUUGGGGUUGGAUUAAAUCCAAAGCAAAUCCAACUAGGUAUUCCUUCUUGAAGCAAAGAGGGGAAAUAUGGGUUGUGGGUUGGGUUUCAUAAGAGGGAGAGAAAUCAAUUUGAAGCAAAUAGAAGGUUGGGUUUGCGAGACGAAGGAGAUCAGCAAGACGACAAGAUUUGGUGAUGGGUUUGCGGGGAUGAUGGAGAUCGACGAGACCAUAGGAUUUGAUGACUGGAUUUGGCAACACAUGGUUGCAGAUCGCAAACGAUGCAGAUAUUAGAGAGGUGGGAUUAGCAAUCCCAACCUUUUCAGGGGUCCUAGCUAAGAUGAGGUAGCGAAGCCUUUAGUCGGAACGAGUCCGACUUAAUCCCAUUAAAGACAGUCCCGGAUCAAACCAAACAUAGACUAGUAAGCCAGUCUAGUCCAAUGAAACCUAAGGAGCUCAAACAAACACACCCUUAAGCACCAAAGUGGUGCUUCGACAAUUCUCAUCAGAGUGAAGCGUUCACUUGAGAUGCUUAAGUUAAUAUUCGAGCAAACUAUGGCCUCAAGGUUUUAUUUAUCUCAAACCUAGCCUCGAUCUUCUCUGAAUUCACUGCAUCAUUAACAUGUCUAAAAUCAUUUUCGUUUGCAAAUGCAAUUUCAUCUUGAAGUGUGCUGCUACGUCCACUCAUAUGUCUAUUUUCUCAUAUCCACUUAAUUUAUAUUUCCAUUCAUCAUGAUUUUUUUUUUAAUAUUUAAUAUUCAUUAAGUACUUAUAAAAUGACUGAAAGCGCUUUUCAAUGGAAGUGUUUUUGGAUUUCAAGAGCACUUAAAGUGAUUCUUGCAAGAAGUAUCAAUUAUCUGAUUUUUGCAGGUAACACUUCAGGUAACACUUCGACACUCGUUGUUUCUGUCUGGAUUGAAUGAAGUUGCUGACGUUAUUAGAAGGGAUGGCUAUAUGUUGAGCAAGCUGGGACAUUUGGUUUUUAAGAGAUGGCUUACUUGGCUCAUUGGUUGGCUGGUGGGGAUGUUGGUAUUGGCAAGCCUGUUCGUUGCCACCCCAAUUAAGAAUGGGAUGGUGCCUCCACCCCGGAUUAUAUGUAUUGGAAAAAGGGUCAUUCUUAGGUAUAUUAUAAUUAUUUACCAUAUUGACAUGCUCUUGCAUGAGCUUAGGUUAACAUCCUUGUUGGGGCACUGAAUAAUGUCAUGAGUUGUCACACUACAAAUGACACAAUCUUCUUGGACAUUGGGCACGGAGGAGCCAUGCAUUAAGGCAUCAAACUUGGCGUUGAGAGUUUUAUCCAACUUAAAAUUUUGGGUAGAAACAUUAGGAUAACCUUGAGAAAUUUCGAAAACUCCCCUCUUUUGUGUUUGUUCUUCUGUCCAUUGUUGGGAUUCUAGAGCCAUCAUAUCAUACAACUCAAAAGCUUCCCUUGCUAAUUUCGACAGUAGUGACCCUCCAACAGAUGCUUCACUUGACUUUUGGUGGUGACAUUGAGACCAUCUUAAAAGAUGUUCAUUUGAAGGUCAGAAUUAACCCAGCAUGAGGACAUUUUACUUACAGCUCAUUGUAACGUUCCCACGCUUCAUGGAAAUAUUUGUUUGGCUUUUGGGUGAAUGCCAAUAUCUCCUUCUUAAAGUGCAAGAGUCUUGAAAGAUGGAAAGAACUUGUUGAGAAACUUUUCUUGCAACUGUGUCCAAGUUGACAUGUUAUUGGUAGGAAGAGAGUGUAGCCACGUCUUGGCUUUGUCCUUCAUAGAGAAAGGAAACAAGCAACCUCUUAUUAUGGUGUUAUCACAUGCUUCAAGAAAAUCAGUCAAAUGCAUGUUAGGGUCGCUGUUUGGCAACCCAUGAAAGGAUGGCAAAAUGUUGAGGAUGUGUUCUAGGUAUACAAUGCACCUUGGCAGUGCAUUGACUCUUGCAGCCAAUGAAUUCCUCAAAGGCUGACCUGCAGCAGGUAGGGCAAGUGCGAUGGUUGAGAUCAGGGCCAAAGGCUGGAAAAUAGUUGCGCUGCUCUCAGUAUCACGAAACAACUUUUCAAGAAAAGUGUCACGUAGGCUGGGAUCUUGCACUAAAUAUCUUUCUCUAGCGAACCUCCCUGCAAUUCUCUUUGGUUCAGGGUCAAAGGCAGCAAGAGCUUGAUUCUUAAACCUUGUUCCAAUUACCAUAUGCUACCUCUAAUUGUGAUCAAACAAACCAAAAUUUUAUUUUAUUUAUUUAGUUUUUUAUUAUAUAUUAAAAAUAUAUAUUUUACAUUUUUUUUAUUUUACAAUUUAUUUCUUUUUAAGUUUUAAGUUUUUAUUUUUAGGCAGUAAUUAUUAAUAAAUAAAACUACUUUUUUUUUUUUAAAGAAAGACAAUAACUAUGAAUUAAUUGUCACUUAGUACUACGAUCUAAUGAUACAAAUUUGUUACAGAUAAUUUGUGUGGAACAAAAAGAAAUUAGUUACACAUAAUUAUACAAAUACAUACAACAGUAUACGUGAAGAAAUAAAGAGGGAGGACAACCCGUUUUACAAGGUUUCCUCCUGAGCUCUCCAUAUUCUUUCUGCAACCCGCAACCAAAGACUCCAACCUAAUGCACAAUGGACGGCUCAGAUUAAAUCUCAACCAAUCCAAUGAUCCAACAAUUUUUAAAAUUUAAUUUAAUAUAUAUAAUUAUUAUAAUUUGUAGGGGUAUAAAAUUGUUAAUUUAAUAUAUAUAAUUAUUAUAGUAUUUUUUUAGGAUUACAAAAUUAUAAAAUUAAUAUUUUGCUUUGUGUAUUAUGUUACUCAUGUGUAUACCCGAACCAACCCGUUAUCUUACCAGGUGCUUAUCGGGUUACCCAAUAACAACCCGAUUCGUUAUCGUGUCGACCCAAACACCUGUUAAUUUCGUGUCAUAUCGUGUCGAAUUAUCGAGUCGUGUCAGGAAUUACCAGGUCUAGUCCCAGUGCCGAGAGCUCACUCUCUUAUCUCACUUUAAAUCACUUUAUUUUAUUACUUCCUUUUCAGCCCACCUGUUCCUUCGAAUUCCAUUUCUUUUACCAUCAUGCUAGAUUCCCCACCAUAGAAAUAUUAAUUAUUGCAACGUUCGGCUACGAGAGUCCAACUGGAGUGUAGGUUGAUUAUUAAACCGAAUGGAACACAUUUUAAUGGGCUACUUGUUUCAGAGGCGCGUUUGUUUUUUGUAAACCUUGUAGAGAGCAUAGUAUUGCUAAAACAAAGGAAGAACAAAAUGGUCAGUUUUAGGCCUGGUUUCGUACUGAGGUGAUUCUGAAAAAAAGUCGAUAUCAAAAAAAGUUGGAAGCUUUUUUGUGUUUGGUAAACAUUCAGCUUCAGCUUUUUUUUCACAGUUUUGGGUGAAAAAAGGCCAAAAACAAGAAGCUGCAAAACCCAGCUUUGAAAAAUCGAUUUUUUUUCACAUCUGUUUUACAUAAAAGUUUACCAAACACUAUAAUAAUGUUUUUUUUUUUUUUUCAAAAGCAUUUUACAAAAAAGUUUACCAAACACUCUAUAGCUUUAUUUCACAACCGCUUAAUCUCACAGCACAACAGAAGCAACUUUUUUCGAAUCACAGCAAUACCAAACCAACCCUUCGUUUACAGAAUAAAAGAAAUUCAAGAGCAUAUUGAAAAGGGUGUUAUUCCAAUUAAUACCUGUACAUUCUGGCAUGUCUUGAGCUCUUCCUCAUCCAAGGUAUACUCGUGCAUCACCCAAUCGGUGCGCUCCCCACUAGGUGCACGGCCUUUGUAAUAAACUAAGGUCUUCUUCAAUCCAACAGACCGUGAAUAGCAUACAAGGUACGAUCCUUUCCUGUAGCUUUCCAAUACCCGUGUCUGGUUGCCCUGCUUGAUCUUCCUCCAUUAGGGUAUUUCCGAUCUCUUGGACUGAAAAAGAACCAUUGCCUGUCUCCAGUUUCAACAGAGAGAGUUCUGCAUAUCACAUUCACAAGUUAGUAACCAAAUUCAAUCAACAAAAAACGUGAGAGGUUAAACAACAAAAAUUGUGAGAGGCUAAACAAGAAAAAAUGUGAGAGGUUAAACAGCUAUCUAAUACAUAAAACUAAGAUUAGCAGAUGAAUUAAAAUUAAUGAAAAUCAGAACCAUUCAAAACCAUUUCCAUUCCAAACGCAACCGGAUUAACAGACACAUAUACUUGGCAUUUUAAAGUUGGGAUUUAUAAACCAAGGGCUAAGAACAAAUAUUAAAUUACUUUACUCCUAAAUGCGUAGCUUUAUAUAGCAUUGUAUUUUCAGUUUCUCCUGACAGUGGAAAUCAUUUGUUUUUUCAGUUUUCAGUCAACAAUAGAUGGGAUAGGGCAGGGGGAAUCAAGCUGGGACCUCGGGUAUAGAGGUAAAUUCUCUUCACCACAGGGCUAUAAACCCGCACAAACUCAUUUAUCAUAAUGUGCAAAAACGUAAGAACAGAAAAGAAAAAAAAAUUAGUUAUUUAUGAGACAGACUAUAUCCUACAAAAGGAUAAAAGGCCUACGAAAGAAACGAGAAUCAGUUGCAGUAUACCUAUUUUAGAUUGACCCAUUCCCAUGUCUCAUCCACUGUACCAAUAUCAUAAACCAGAGCAUGUAGUGUUGGGUUUUUUCCAGCCCAUGAUUAGUUGUCCUAAGUCUAUUGGGAAUUAAUAGUCUUAGAGGAUUAAAUUGUUUUCCCAGUUGGAAUUAUUUACCCAAUUAGAGUUAGUUUCUCAAUUGGAGUAGGAUUCAUAACUAGAUUCCAAUUAAGAUUAAUAAUCCUUAUUGAAGAAGACCUUUAUUAUGUCUAUAUAAAGGGGCUAUUGUACUAGUUUUGAAAAAGGAGCAAAACAAUAAGUUGUAUAUCACUCAAGGGAUUAGAGUGAGAGAAUAUUGUGUGUGCGAGAGAAAAGAAAAGAGAUAGUGUAUUUCUUGUUCUUGUUUUUUCAGGUUUUUUCGUCAAGUCCUAGUUCUAGAGAUUUGGCAAGAUUAUUGGUUGUACUCAUUAUUGAUAUAAUGAAAGAUUGUUGUUGCUGUCCCGUGGACGUAGGCACAUAUUGCCGAACCACGUAAAUUCUUGGUGUUAUUUAUCUUGGGUAUUUGUUUUUCGAUUUCCGGAGUUUGUUCUUGUUUUUCCCAUUCUUAAACGCAAUAUUCUCAACAAGUGGUAUCAGAGCCUGGUUCGACUGAUAUCCGUUUAGAAUGGAGGGUGCAAUUAUGAUGAAACUCACCCGCUCCAACUGGGUUACGUGGAAAUCAAGAAUGGAGGAUAUGCUUUAUUGUAAAGAUCUCCAUGAGCCAAUUGAAGGUGUUAAGAGCAAGCCAAAAAAUAUGUCUGAUGCCAAUUGGACCAAGAUGAAUCGUAAAACUAUUGGUACGAUUAGACAAUGGGUGGACGAGAGCAUCUAUCACCAUGUGUCUAAAGAAACUGAUGCGCAAACUCUUUGGAAGAAGUUAGAAUCCCUCUUUGAGAAGAAGACCGUUGCCAAGAAAGCAUUCCUUAUCAAAGAGCUUGUCAACACGAAGUAUGCGGAAGUUGUUAGUGUAACCGAGCACUUGAACAACUUUCAGAACGUGAUCAAUUAGGUAGCCACUAUGGGUUUGAAUAUUGAAGAAGAGCUGCUAGCACUUUUAUUGCAAGGAUCCUUGCCAGAUAGUUGGGAAACCUUCGUCGUAACUGUAAGCAAUUCGACUUCUAAUGGUGUACUGUCUAUGGAUGCAGUUAAGGAUAGCAUGUUUAAUGAAGAAACAAGGAGAAAAGCUUCAGGUGCAGGCGCUGGACAACUCUUUGUCACAGAGAAAAGAGGCAAAAAUUCUAGUGAGACGAGAUUCAAUGGUGACUGCCACUAUUGUGGAAAAAAGGGUCACAUGAAGAAGCAUUGUCGUAAAUGGAAAAAGGAACAAAAGGAUGGGAACAAUACUGCAAGUGUUAUGACUUACGAUGAAGAGCUUCUCUAAUGCAGAUGAUUGAUGGUUUUCUGGCAAAGAAGUCUGUAAUUGCCUUUGCCAAUGACGAUGGGUGUUGCGAUCAGGGGGAGCCUGGUCAAGAGAAGUCUAAUCAAGAGGGUCUUGGUUAAUGAGUAGUUCGAUCAAUAGGAGUUUGGUCAAGAGGAGCAAUCCUUAUUUGGUAUACCUUCCUCAUGGUCUGGAGGGGGAGAUUGUUGGGUUUUUUCCAGCCCAUGAUUAGUUGUCCUAAGUCUAUUGGGAAUUAAUAGUCUUAGAGGAUUAAAUUGUUUUCCCAGUUGGAGUUGUUUACCCAAUUGGAGUUAGUUUCUCAAUUGGAGUAGGAUUCAUUACUAGAUUCCAAUUAGAAUUAAUAAUCCUUAUUGAAGAAGACCUUUAUUAUGUCUAUAUAAAAGGGCUAUUGUACUAGUUUUGAAGAGGGAGCAAAACAAUAAGUUGUAUAUCACUCAAGGGAGGGAUUAGAGUGAGAGAAGGGAUUAGAGUGAGAGAAUAUUGUGUGUGCGAGAGAAAAGAAAAGAGAUAGUGUAUUUCUUGUUCUUGUUCUUUCAGGUUUUUUCGUCAAGUCCUAGUUCUAGAGAUUUGGCAAGAUUAUUAGUUGUACUCAUUAUUGAUAUAGUGAAAGAUUGUUGUUGCUGUCCCAUGGGCGUAGGCACAUAUUGCCGAACCACGUAAAUUCUUGGUGUUAUUUAUCUUGGUUAUUUGUUUUUUGAUUUCCGGAGUUUGUUCUUGUUUUUCCCAUUCUUAAACGCGAUAUUCUCAACAUGUAGACCCUGCCAACGUUUGACAAUUGUUAGACUUCACAAAGAUUUAUAUUGGAGUCGUGUGGUCAAACUGCUAAUUACCAAUGCUUAAUCAGGUUCAGAUGAAUUCACAACAAGAGCAUACCUCAGCACGGUUGAAAUUAGUUAUAACAGCCUCAUAGAAGUGGUUGUCUUCAGGCCACCUUGUCCAAACCUUUCUUCCUACUAACGGAUCACUAGUUUCUCCCCCAGCAGGCUCACUCUCCAAAAAGGCACCAGCGGGACCUCAAUUAGCAGCCUGGGGCCUUAGAGGAAUAUUUGCGGAAGGGUACUGUGUGGACUUCAAAAGCAGGCAACAAAUUCCAUUGAAAAAGAAUAGGUAAAAACUAAUCUAAGAAUAUAUAAACAGCACAGGACCAUUUUCUCAACCCAGAAUUAUUUCAACUUACAGAUUUUGGUUUCUUGUUCCGAGGUCCUGGAGGAGGACCUCGUCUCAAGGCUGAAGAGGAUGGUUGCAUGGAUUGAGGCAGUUCAGGAGUUGGAGCACCGAGGGAUAAGGACUGUGAUGUUUUCUGUUUCUUACGUGAUGCUGAAACAGUUGGACUAGGUAGGGGGUCAUGAACAGGCUGAGCAGCAUUAAGUGUACCAGGUUGAAGCCCACUUUUUCUCCAUUGCCUAAUAGUAUAUAAUAUAACAUGUCUCGUAAAAAAUGCAGAGCUAUCCAAACGUAAUACAUAUUUGGUGCUC
rnacentral:lncRNA from 1 species